rnacentral:lncRNA from 1 species
UUGAAUGUUGUAUGCGUGCUAAGUAGUGUCGGUUCAAAGAACCUCGUUGGAGUUUAAGGCACGUUGCAUCCUUUAUUUUAGGUGCAAGUAGGUGCGAAAAAACCGACAUGCUGCUUCGGUACGUGUACUUGUUUAUGAUGUCAUGUAUGUAUCUAAAUCAAAAUUCUGCUACUAUACAUAUACGUAUGUAAUAAUACAUAUAAACGUCUUACACUCUCGCCACGACAAAACGUGCUACAUAAAUACAAACAACGUGCUACAUACGUUUACAUACGUACGUAUGUACAUUAUAGCACGUUAUUGUAGCGAGAGUUUUAGGGGCAUAUAUAGAAGAAUGUAGUAAUAAGAUGUAAGGUGUUUUUGGGUGGGGGGUGAAGAGGAGGUAGAGACGGGGUAAAGGGCCCAUCCCAGCUCAUGAUCUUAUGCAUAUGUCUGGAUGGCGGUGGAUGCCGGUGGAUGCCGGUGGUGGGUGCGGAACAUGAGCGAUCCACUGAGAAGUUGACUGGGGUGACUGGAUGAGGGUGCCCCGAAAUACCGGGGAAGGCAGGGUUUCGCAGGGUAGCUGCCACGGGCGAAGAUACACCCCCACUGUUUCACACAUCAUACAUCUGUGUGUAUAUUUAAUAACCACACUGAAUAACCACGCAACCAAGGUGUAGCACACACAUACACACACAUACACACACAUACACACACAUACACACACAUGCACGCACAUGCACACAUAUACACACACAUACACACACAUACACACACAUACACACACAUACACACAUACACACACAUACACACACAUACACACACAUGCACACACAUGCACACACAUGCACACACAUGCACACACACAAUCAACAUACAGAUAGAGUAAAGCAAGGAGAAGUGGGCAAUGCAACUGCUGAGUGUCGUACAGAUAACAUAAUCGAGAAAUAAAUUCCUGCUUUCCAUCAGCACAUCUUAGAGAUGAUGAUGCGUGCCGUCACCCUCUCGAGUCCCCAGCGAGUCGCCGUGGUUGUGGUUGUGGUUGUGGUUGUGGUUGUGGUUGUGGUUGUGGUUGUGGUUGUGGUUGUGGUUGUGGUUGUGGUUGUUACAGUGGGCUCGAGACUCACAAAGAGUAGAGCCAGCGCCGUUGCAUGAAAGGCGAUCGAUCUUCCAACAACUCAUACCCGGCGGUCCAUACAUUCUGCACACAAUACUUUUUGAGUUCCGUACUCCGUACCUCGCAAUCAAUGUAUCGUACACCGCCCGUAUGGCACCUGGCGCGACGCGGUAGUCAUCUGUUUGGAACCCAUUCAUAUACGCAUCCAACGCAAGCACGAUCUCCUUAUGCGGCUUGGGAAGAUUGUACGGCAGAAGAUCCAAAAAAGCUUUGUCGAUGCCGUACACGGUCACCUCCACCGGACCGUCUGCCGCGGCUGAGCCUACAUCCACCGUAACCUGCGUUGUACGACAUGAGGCAGGCGGGUACGACAUGCGGCGGUGGAAAGGACAACAAAAACUCAAACAUGCACACAUACAUACAUACAUGCACACAACAGCCACCUGCCUGGCAGAGGUUAAGGCCUGACUUCUGCUCCCGGAGUGUCCGGGUUCAAAUUCGCCUGCCGACUUCUCGGGUGUUUGAGGAGUGUUGAAAUAGGAGGUGGCCCCCCAUCUUAUAAACGUGAUUUUAUCGACUUGCGAGCUGACCAGGAACUAAGUUGUGGUGCCGUUGAUCCGCUAGAUUUGGUUGGAUGCUGGUGGUGAGUUGCCGAACCCAACGAAUACAUUCUGAAGUCGGAUGGGGUGAACGGAUUAGGGUGCCCCUCUCGCAGGGGAGUGCAGGGAACUGCCUCGGGAAAGGGGGCCGCUGGCGAAGCUAUACCACCCUGUAACAACAUACAUACACACAUACAUACACACACCGCGGUUCCAGCGUUUUUCUCCAACCCCCCAAACGCCGCGGCAUUCCCCAUUUCCCACCAGGCCCCUCUUCCCCACACAAAAUGAUGUAAACGCUCUAACCUGCGCUGUCGCUCCUGGCUCAACCACCACAAGAUCCGCUCCGUUGGAAUCCUUGACCGUUGUAACGCCAGCCGCGCCGACCGCCGCUGGCGCCGGCGUCACUUCAACUUCCACGGACAGCUCGUUGUCGCGCAGGAUGCGAAUGUCGGCAGUCAUAAUAUGCGCAUGCGGGGCGCGGGGAUCGAACAGGGCACUCACGGGUAGCUCGCUACGUGGAGGCAAUAUCGGUACGUCCGUCGGGCCCGCCCUUGGUACGUCAAGUACGACCGUCAUUGCGCAGUUGAAUUCGCACUCCGAACCGAGAGGCCCUAUGACCGCGGUGAAUGGCUGACCGGCGGGAAGCUGGGGUUUUUGGCGGGGAGGGGAGGGGAGGGAGGGAUGGGGGUUGGCAAAUGGCGUUUAGGGGAGGAAAAGGUUUUCUUAUGGGGUGAAUGAUGCGUGUGGAGGAUGUGUAUUCCUGUGCACGACACCAGACUUCGGACGUUUUGGCAAUACUUGCAUGGCCCCCAGGAAGCCGCUCAAGCGAGGAAGCGUACUCCGUGGCAAGCAUUAAAGCAAACGGCACAUCGGAUGAGAUAGUGUUGUACACCGUGGCGCUGGUACGGCAUGCCGUACGUGACAUGUCGUACACGUCUUUGUUCUCCGCACCAACUCACCCCAGUGAAUACCAUUGUACGGACGCCGUAUGUCGUACCCCAGACCACCAGCAUACGGCUAGCCGAGUAGGGGUUAUCCAGCCAUAGACGGGGGGAUUCGCCCAGACGAUAUCCGUCAGGUCUGGGGGAGCGGUUGGGGGAUGGUGCGGGGCGAAGGAGGGAAUGUGUAUGUACGGCAUAAAAACACAGUGGCGUACUUCAGGAUGUGUUGAUUUCGGUGCAAAUUUGCACACGCCUGGAAGCCAUUUCUCUCUUAGUUGCACCUCACACACAUAUAAAUGUUUGUUUGGGAAAUUCAACUUUCCAGGCUGGGUUUUUUUGUGAUAUCCUGGGUAUCACGCUAUCCCGAGAUCCACAGAUCGGUUCUUUUCUGAAAAGUCGUGAUGUAACACUUUCCAUCCCGGGGUUGGGCUCCUCCCAGAUUUCUGUACUUUGAACCUCCCUAGUUUUCCUCACGCACUUGUCCAGGAAAAUCGUAGGCUCCGGAAUUCCUGACAACGGAGCUGCAGCCCACAGGGUCGCGUCGCGGCCACGUGUCGUACUGCCGCACGCACGUGUCGUACUGCCGCCGUACGGCACAUCAACACAUGCCUCCAACAGGAACUGGCCAACGCAGGGAAGCGCCAGGCGGCACGAGGCCGCGGCGGUCGGCCAGUCGGCGCCGCUGGAUGUCGUACAGUUUGCGAUGCCGCCGGUGGCGGAGGGCACCGCGACGGCGGCGCAGGUGGCGGCGGAGGCGGACAAGGGCUUCAUCGUGACGUGUACGGGCAGGUCACGAAUGGCGGCGCCGUCGACGGAGGAGGUGACGGCGGCGGCAACGGUGAAGGGGAUGCCCGGGAUGUCGGUGACAUGGCUUGUGGAGAUGGAAACGCUAACGGGACCAGAUGCGAUCCUGUACGACAGGGGCCGGGUGUGACGCAAGUGUAAUCUGAGUUCGUUUGUAUGUGCAUGUGUACGUGUGUUUUGGGACGCCAGCGAGCCGCUCCCCUAUUUAGUUAUGGAUAUGUACGGAAAUAAUGUCCUAUUAAACCCGAAGUUAUUUCCCCCCUGACGCCUAAGUGUGCCUGAAAAAUGUACUUAAAUAGGCAAUAGCUCCAGGCCUUUACCUACCGCCCACAUGCAAAGACCCCCAUGGCUUUUUGUUGGGGAACAAAAAAAUAAAAACAAGAAAUAUAAAAAUAAAAAAAUAAAUAAUCUACCUUACGGACGAGGACUGGAUAAUGCGCUCUCUUGUAGGUCCUAUCCACUCCGCCUUCACACUGACGGUGCCUGUAAGCACCUUCCCCGCCGCCGCCGCCGCCGCCGCCGCCGCAACCGGCGCAAGAUUAAUCGUCGCUGCCGCCACACCCUCCAUAUUCGUUGUCAGAUUCAGCACGCUGCUGGCGGAGGCGCCGCUAUUCACCAGUGACCACGUCACGGUGACGACGGAGUCGCUGACGGAGGCACCGAUGUAGCUGACGGCGGUGGCGUUGACCGCAAAAGAUCCAUUGGGAGUGACCCAUGGGUCCGUUACCAGCUUAAGCUCUGCCGUGGGAGGUCGUGGGCUAGACACCACAAAGGUCUCGGAAGAGAGGUAGACGUCGUCGUCUAUAUGUAACAGGUCGGUCACAGCUGGUAGCGGUGUCGUACCAUUCGGUACGACAGAGCUGACGAAGGCAUUGACGGUGUAGGUUAGCAUCUUGGCGGAGGCGGGUACGGCGAUCUCCGCAUGGAAUGUCCCUGUAAUCCCGCUCAGCUGAACGGGAGAAGACGGGUAUAUGUUGUACAUUGUCGUACGCUUAUAGUUAACAUACAUGUAUACGACACAAUAGCAUAUAUACCAUUAAGCACGUGCAUGUAUCAAGCACGGAGGUACGGAGCUAUGUGUACGGACCAAGUUCGGCAGGGAGUUUAUGGAGCAUACAUGCACUAGAAGUGUGCGUGUAUCAUAAGAGCACAUUUCAUUCCAAGUUAGUCGUCACUUCAUUCUCCUUAGUUCCUAGGGACUGUCUCUCGUUCUGUUCUGCUGCUAUCCUUCUGUUCUUGUUCAGCGUUCCUUUCCUCGAACUAUCGACAGUAGCUAUAAUAGGAAUCCGUGAAGAAACGUACUCCUCAACGAAAUGAUGCAUACAAUGCACACAAUGUAUGUGUGUGUUACAACUUCUGGAGUUGCGUUACUCACCGAUGGUACAUCUCUAGGUUACGCGAUAUCCAAAAAUUCUAGUCCAACUACCCUGACGCCUAACUACUUAACUCCCUAACCACCUAAGGGGGAGAGAGCAAUUGUUCGGAAUGGUAAAAAAUAGCCCCAUUCAUGAUGCGGAAACAGUGGAAACAGAAUUCAUCCAGUAGCUUACCUAUAAUUUUGCCGCGGAAUGAUCUCGGUUUUACUUCAAAUAGAGUCUUAUCGGUAAAUAUUACUAUUGCCUAAUAAAGAACCAAACAAUUAAACAUUCGGACCACCCCAAAACACACACACACACCUACCGUGGCCACCGUAAGGGGAAGUAUCCCCUCAAUAGUACCGUUGAAAUUGGGCACCACCUCCAGUAGAAUGUAUGCAUCGUUAGGGAGAGACAGCCCCGUUGGGGAAGCCAAUUGUACGAAACCUGCGAACGGGUUGAUGGGCGGGCACACACGGUUGUGCUGGUUUCGGAGGAGAUUCAUCAUAAAAACGCUCACACAAUUGAAAACUUUCCGAUGCGUCCAGAUGCACACACAUACAUACACACGUACACACACUCUCCGAAACCACCUGUAAUCUUGACGGAGUCCGCGGGCUCCACCACCUUGCGAUCCAAAACGAUGGAGGCCUUAUACGGAGACACCGACUUGGGGCUUGUCACCCAGCCGCUGUACGGAAGGAGUGCCGUACGUACCCCCGCUGCAGAAACGACCCGCGCCACUGCUGCCAGCAUACUGCGAUCCUGCGAAAUGUUCAUUCAACAAACCUUCUAACACUGUUAGUUCUAUCCAUCUAUCUAUCCAUCUAUUUAUCUAUCUAACCUUCUACCUAUCUAUCCUUCUAUCUAUCUAUCUAUCCUUCUAUCUAUCUAUCCUUCUAUCUAUCCUUCUAUCUAUCUAUCCUUCUACCUAUCUAUCCUAACAACAAAAAACACACAAACAUAACUAAUGAUAUUUCAUACAGAAAUAUCGCGUCACAUGACUGUCCUGUCUUCGACAAAACUUAGUACGUGUGUACGGAGGAGUGCCAAACAAGGAAGUUUAACAGACAGUGACGACAGAGCUCCGCCCCAACAGAAUGUCCCUCACGACACCAACCGUUGCAAUCUAGGAAACACCGCCAGGUUGGCCACCGUGGCAGCGUUAGGUUAUUAUUAUCUUUGGCCCUCCCCCACCUUGGCCCUCAAACCCCCCGGGGACGAACCCACACGCACCGAGUCAGAAGUUAAUCGCACUGCACAAUAUCCCUGCAUGUUGGUCGUACAGUUGGCUAGCUUGACCGGCAACUCCACUUCGUCGUAUCCGUACUGUGCAGGGUUUGGUGGCAUUUAGGGACGGGAGUUAGCGGUUGCCUCGUCCAAUGAGUACGAGGUAGCGUACGUAAUGUACUAAUGUACUAAUUUAUGUAUGUAUGUAUGUAUCCCCGAGGGGGUUGAACAGGCUAGGUACGGGUUUUGUCGUGUAGCGAAGUCUAUCUCUUAGUUAUAACUGAUGAUCGAGCCGCAAUUUAUCAUAAAUUCAGAUAGAGAUGGCCCAUGGUGGGUGAAGUCCCACUGCCUCCCGAGUUCGUACUCAUAAUAUGGCCGUACUUGUGACACUCACGCCAAGCCGUACAUACGUACCCAGCCAAACGGUAAGGUGUAGAAAGACACAUCGGCUCCUGCUACUGUGCCUGGGCCGCUGCCCCCGAAGGCAUCUGUCACCCAGGCCACGAGAGUAGGCCCCGACUGUACGACACUGAGUGUCAAGUUCGUACGGAGUACGAUUUUUGAUUGCCCGUACGCGCGCUGUUCAGACUGUAGGGGAGUUUGGAAAAUGGGAAAAAGUGGGACAUGAUGCGACGUCUUCGUUAGGACAUUGAGCAAUUUGUAUGACCGAAUUGUACAGCACAAUAAUGCUGUUGGGGCGGCUGUGUAAGGGACGGCAAGUACGGUUUCGGGUGACCGAUAUAUUGCUAAUUUUUCCAACUAAAGUUGGAUGAGGAAAAUGCAUUUGAUGAUAUGAUGCCUGGUUAACCGUUGACCGUUAAUCGUUAACACAUUGAAGCUGGAGAUUCACAUUUCCCACCCAUCCACCUACCCCCAUUGCUCUUACUGCAUGUCUCCUAAAUAGGCAUAUUAUGAUACGUUAUAUAAUAUACUAUGUUAUAUAUCUCCGCAACACCACCACCACCACCACCCAACAGCAAAAAAUUAACUUCAAAUGCACAACAAUUGCAUAUUAAAGCCUCACCCUCAAUAAUCGUAGUAGCCGGUACACUGUACGGCACCGUGAACAGCUACAAAUACGAGUCCACCCCAGCAUCUCGAGAGGCCUUUUCAGCGGUGGCCAGCUAAUACAAUAAUAACCAUCCUAUCAUCACAGACCUAUAUUACCAUUCGCCUAUAUCCGGAUGUACAACAUUCCCAAAAUACAAUGUACAACAUUCAAUGCCCACCCGUACUCAUCUUAAACUGUAUUGGAACUACCCUUGCUUCUACCAAGAGAACCCUAAAACCCCUGUUAAGCCCAAAACAAAAAAAUAUAAUAUCUCAAAAGUAAGUGUUAGAUCCAACAGAACUCAGCUAGAUGCCGUAAAAAAACAGAGACGUGUAACUACAGUCACCCCUUGCCCCCACGGUGAUUCUUUCAUUCCUGUUUUCGCUUUCCUCCCCCUCCCGCUAACCCUAAAUCCAAUAAUAUCUCCCUUCUCACACUGAACAUUACUUACCCACCCCGGAUGUACGGUUAUAUGAUCUCCCAACCUCCCAAAUCCCCCCCCAACAAACCGCACAACAGACAACUCACCACAGGUGUACAGCAUUCUGACAUUACUUGAAGCUGUGCAGAGCCUAAGGGGGCCUUGAUUUGCGUCCAGUCUUGACCCAGUCCCGGGGUAGUUAGAUUUCGGUUGACCGUUAGCACCAUGUCGGGCUGGCCUAACACAGCUGUUGCAUCUUGAACCCCGUAAUCCAUGGAUGCCUGCAUGUACGUGAGUUUACGGCAUGACUGUUGUGUGACGUGGGCAUUUGUGAGCCGAGCCGAGCCGGGGUAAAAGGGUAAAAGGAAGUCAACCCGUUUUGCCCAUGGUGUUACCAAAGACAUCCGAUAAGCAAGUUUUAAAAGACAUAUCUGCAUGUAUGUACGUAUGUAUAUAGCUCCUACACUCACUCACUCACUCACUCGAAACCCUCAUUACCCCAAAACCAUUUCACUGCUACCUGAAUGAAGGCAAACAGACGGAUUACGUCAGCAUCAAUGGCAGCGUUAAUAUGGUACGACUUGAUGGUACGGGGGUAGCCCUCCUUUGGCCAUCCGUACAUGCCUAACGACGGUGAACGUGUGAUGUACGGCCAAUAGCUGGUUUGUGGGUCAAUGUCCGCGCCCUCGAGGACCACAAGGGCAGAGCCACCGUUGUUGGGCGCUGCAAACAUGUACUGGACGUCCAUCAUCUUGAACUCCGUAGAUGACCCCUGCAGGCGUUACAGUAGUGAUGUGGUGUACAUGAUGGUAAGACGGGUAAGAGGGGCUACUAACGAAUUCUUAACGAGUUUUAAAGGAUUUGAGCGCUGGGUUAUAGUCUAUCUAAAUUGCCGUAUAAGUAUUUCGUCCACUCCAUAGAGGCCUAUUCCGCCCCCAAGUAAAUCCCCCCAAACCCUAAAACCUGACAGACCUGCAGUUUCUGAUUGAAACCGUCCCGGACUGUGGAGCUGCGUGACACGUACACCCUGGGGUGGGAGAUGGUGAUCGGAGGUGACGGGCGAUUUAGUUAAAUUACACCAAAACCGGGUUUGGGGCGGGGCCCCAGCGUGAAGCGCCCAGGGGGCCCCCGCCUUGUAGGAUUGCCCAUGUCCGUGUGGCCGUGUGUGUGUAACGGACCAAACAUAAUACCUCGCCCGGCUGAAACGCGUUAUUGGUAAUGUAUUGCAUUCUCUAAUGCAAGGUAUCUCGCCUGUAGCCAACAAGCAUCGUAUGAGCACAAACAAGUUUGGCUGCCUCCAUUGACUGAGGUCACUGAAAGUCACAUCAACGCCUCUCGAGCUAAAUUUAAUCUCAAAAGGUGCCGCGUAUCUCAUAAUUGAAUUCUGAGAUGACGGCGUAUGAUAAUUCGAACACCCAGCUUGUGUUACCAUUUGCCCGCACGGGCAUUCCGACUUGCCACCAGCAGGCCGACAAAUUUGCGUUCAUUUCUCUAUGAAGUACGCAAGCUGCUAGUUUGUAAAUUUACUUUAGCCAAUGCUCGGGGCCUCCGGAGACUUGCGGCGGAGCUCGCGACUGUGGGGCGGAUUGCUGAGGCCGCUGGCGCUUCGGGGAUAAACAUCACAGACAGCACCGGAAAGUGCUGAGAGCUUGGGGGAAGUGUGUCGAGCUAGGCUUUGAGGGAGGCCCCAAGGGCGCGUGAGCAGGCGGGUCAAUGCCUGAAGGGGCGCCGUAGGCAGUGUGUACGGUGCUGUACGGCGCUGUUUCCAUGUGUGUUCGGGCUGCGGCACCAGACCGCAAAUCCAACAGGCUGAAGGCUAGCAAGCGAUUCCGCCUGUGCAAGCAUAGCUCCCACCGCAUCAGCACUGCUGCAACAAGCACAGCUCCCACCACGUUGACACUACCAUAGCUACCGGCCUGUACGGAUGCAGGGGACCCCCGCCCUUUUUCCGGCUUCGAGGAAGCCGACACAGCUUGUCCUUUUCCCUCCUCCUUCUCCCUUUCCCAACCCCCUAAAACCCCCAAGCCUAACAUUACCGGACCUUCUCCCCCCCCCCGUUUUCCCCCAACCCCUCCCACCCAUCCCGGCCUCCCUUCUCUCCCCGUUGGCCCCCCUCACCAAACCCGCUUCCCCUCCAGAUAAACGUCUGUACGGCAGCUCGACGUACCGGUAGGUCCUGCCGGGUUGCGCCCGAGGUACCGUUAGCCUGGCCAGGGUAGGCCCCACCAGUGUAAGAUUAAAGGGCACGCGGGCGCCACAGGCUGGCUGGCUGCUGUUACCAGCUGGAGGCGACGGACCCGUGGGUCGCUCACAAAGGGUGAUGGCGGCAGCCAGAUCAGAGGCGCGGGUGCCGGCGGCGAGGCCGUGAGGCAACCACAUGUUCCAGCGACGAUAACUGUGCGUGCGUGAGUUUGUGUUUGUGUGUGUGUGUGUGUGUUUGUGUGUGUGGGGAGAAAGGGGGAAAGGGGAUAGGGAGGAAGGGAAGGAGAAGUUCAGGAGAGGGUAACCGACCAGUGUGUGUGCGUGUUUGUGUAUGUGUAUGGGGUGUAUGUAUGUGUAUGUAUGUGUGCAUGUGCGUGUGCGUGUGGCGAUUACAAGUAACGGACCGGGCCUGACACCUCUGGCCACUGAGGGGCUGCUGCCCAGCCCCAACGGAAAGACCGCCUAGAUCCGCUCUCCUUGCCCCGGGGGUGGGAGGCGUCGCACACACGCACAUCCUCACGAGUCAAGGCUCCGUCACGUGAGUUUGCGUGUAUAUAUGUGUGUGUAUGCAUGUAUAUACAUGUACAUAUGUGAGCUUGUAUGUAUAUAUGUAUAUAUGUGUGUGUACAUGUGGUAUGUAUGUAUGUAUGUAUGUAUGUAUGUAUGUAUGUAUGUAUGUAUGUAUGUAUGUAUGUAUGUAUGUAUGUAUGUAUGUAUAGCCGGCGCGUGGAUGAGAGACAGUCUUGCACUCGGGCGCAAGUACGGCGAAAUGUACGACAACUUGUAUCGCGUAAUUUCAUUAUGUAAGGACUUGGUUUCUGAUCCUCAAUGAAGCAUUGCUUAUGAAAAAGUGAAUAAACGCCAUUUAAAAGCAAUUGCUGCUGCUGCUGCUGCUGCAGCUGCUAGUGCCUGCUGCUGGUAUCGUUGCAGGUAAGUUUACCUGAAGGCGUUGUAGGAGGUGACGGAAUCGUCGUUGGGAAUAGGGUUUAGAAAGGGGAUGCGGAAAGGACCCAAUCCAGCGAACACGUAGUCCAAAUCUCUAGCAAGUUGCCCCGAAACCGCGUUGUACUUAGUUCCAGCUGGCAGACGCAGCGUAUACCUUAUCAGGGUGGUGGGGGGGGGAAAGAGAGCGAGAGAGGGAGAGCGAAAAGGGAAGGGGGAGGGGGAGGGGGGUGGGGGAAAGGGGAGUUAACUUGGAGUUUUGCCUGAAACCCUAACCCCCUUCCUUUGCUGCCCCCCUCAAGGCCACUUACCAGGUGUCAGGUUUCAGCAAGGGACCAACCUCCACGUCAGCACAUGUCGUGUUGAUGUCCAGGGAGGACUGUACGGCAUGUAGCAGCAGCAGGCGGUAGCAGCAGUAGCAGCGGUUAGCUAGCAUUAGCAGUGGCAAUCAUCACAGCUAUAGCAGCAGUAGAAGGAGCAGUAGUAGUAAAAGCAUCAGAAGCAUAAGCAGGAGCAGAUGAAAGGGUCCAAGAGCAUUCAAAAUCUAACCGGUACCCCUGCCUGCCCCAACUUUUCCAAUCCACGUAAAAUCGCAGAAACUAAGCAAUUCGCAGCGAAGCAAGGAGCCAUAAAGAAAAACCUAAAACAUAAAAUCUAAAACCCAUCACCUCACGUUUGUGGCAAUCCAUGGUGCAGCGCUCGUACAGGGCCGUACGGUAAACUGCCUGGGGCCCGAUGUCACACUGCCUUGCAUGGAGUUGCCCUCCAAGAUCUGUACGACACAUAUCAAACGCAAGUGUACGCCACGGGGUGUCAGGCCAAAACAAAAUGAUAGCGGGUUUUAAGAAACAAUAGUUCGUUGCACAAAAAACAGCGAAGGAAUACGACAAAACACAGCAUCAAAACAAAUAUCUAUCUUUAUUGCAACACAUGUAUAUGAUCACUCGCCACAGAGAAAUGAAAUGCAAGGCCAAAGCAUCAAAGAGGCAAUUGCGUGUCAAAGGCGUUGCGUGUGCGUGUGCGUGUGUGUGUGUGUGUGUUCCUGUGAAGUCGUCAGUUAAUACAGUUUGUUUCAUUUCAUUAUGAGGGGUGCCCUCCACAAACAUGUUUAAGCAGCCCCUCGCACAAAUGUGUCCGGUCGUACUUCGCGAAUAAAGCCUAAGUACACUCGUCCCAAAAAAGCCAGGAGCGAAUUUUGCCGCGCAGAUGCGCGCGUGCGAUUCUCAAAAUGCGCCUGUACAAGUGUAUAUAAACUUUUUUGGCGGAUGAGGACCAGGUGCGCCAGCGCGUUGCGCAGGUGGGCAUGUUGGCCAUAGCCGCACGCUGGACUAUUGCGUGGAUGCUUUGCAGUAAAUAAAAGCACCGAAAGCCAACGUCGUAGCUUGCAACUCUGGGCUCGUGAAACUGCCGCGGAAGAUGAAGCGGUCGGCGAAGAAUCAGCCAUAAGGCGCCUGCUUUCGGUAGCGCAGCGCAUAAUGCACAUUGUUCCGACUAAACUCAAGUUACACUCUUACGAAAUAAAUAAUAACAACGCAGAAUUAGGUAAAGAGAAGAAUCGCGAAAGUUGUUCAGAACCUUGCAAGUAAAAUGGAUGCCGCUGAGGGCUUGGAACAGCUUUUCGCAGCGCAUUCGGCCGUGCCUGCGUUAGCCGUGUUGCAGCUACUACGGAAGGACUUGAGCCAGCAGCAAGCUCAAAUUCUGUUUAAGAACCACCAGCAUUGUCUUCAGAUGGGAACAUGUAGUUUUGGACGGCGCGGGCGAGCAGCGUACGCAUUGCGCACAGGUACCGAGGUGCAGCGUCUCAGGAUGGAUUUCAGCCAACAAAGCCUCAAGAGCUGCUGCACAACCACCGGUGUGUCUUCAGUUGGGCACGUGUAGUCGAGCAUUGUAUGCAUUGCACACAGAAACCAAGGUGCAGCGUCUCUGUAACAUCGCCAACAUAUCCGGUACGCGGUGGCAGGCUUGCCGAGCACGAAAUGAAGGGGGGUCGCAUCUCACCAUUCAACUAAGCAUGCAUGUGCUCGGUUGAAUGCUCGGUAGCAUGCGAGUUUACCUAUCAGGAUGUUUGUUUGCAUAUAUCCCUCCAAGUGAGAGGGCUAGGACCUAUGCUGAUGUUCGUUACAAGAAGUGAACUGAGGACUGAUGCUACACGUCAUGUAUACGCGUUGCUUAGCUUGCAACGAGACGCGCCCACGAUGAAAGCUUCAGCUACACUCACAAUACAUUAUACUGCUACACUAUUCUCUCCAGUCCUACCACAUUAUAUUUCACCGACGUACUUCCGCACCUUCCACAUCACCAUACAUGCUUUGGAAACGCGGGCAGCUGCUUCACAAGGGCCCCCAUCUUUAUAUACGUAUUACAUUAUACAUGGAUAUAUAAUUAUAUAGAUAUAUAUUCGCCAUUAGCCUAGAACAGUUGAGCCUAUUCCACCAGUGAAAUGUUCGUUGAACAUGAACAUCCGCAGUACGAGUGAGAAGUGCCGUACGUCAGUAAGGCCUCCCUUACGAAUCGUACUAAACCCUGACGCCGCACCUGAAGCGCUGCUGACACCAUCUUGAGAUUGACGGUGUACGAGAAGUACACCAAUAAGUGACCUGCAUGCGAGUGAUGGGGGGAAUCAUAGGCGAGAAAGUGUGUUUUGGGGGGAGAGAGAAAGUGUUUUGGGGGGAGAGAGAAAAUGUAUACACCCUGUUACCUGAUCAGGAAAGGACUUUCCUGCUAAUGGCACAGACCAGCAUCAUUAGUAAACCUAUAUCUAUCUAUUUAUGCAUAUGUAUACAUGUUUAUAUAUACACGUACACAUAAUAUAAACAUAAUAUAUAUAGCCCUUGUUCGUGUCCACGUUGUGGCUCAUAGGCUCUUGGGCCUCUGCAGCUGGGGCUUCUAUGGGCUCAUUGCACCUCCCGGGGUGUAACACACACAUACACACACAUACAUGUUCACGCCCGUCCCCCCUUCCCACACAACAAGUCGGUUGUCGGCUUCCUUGAAGCCGGAAAAAGGGCGGGGCCCCCCUGCAUCCGUACAGGCCGGUAGCUAGGGUGGCACGUGUGACAACUGAUGGGUAGUGUCAACGUGGUGGGAGAUGUGCUUGUUGCAGCAGUGCUGAUGGUGUGAGAGCUAAGCUUGCACCAGCGGAAUCGUCAGCACCGCCUGCGGGCUCCACGCGAAUCGCAUCCAUCCCGGGUGCAUGCCGCAUGGACAGUGCGGCAGACCACAAGUCGGAAUGCCCGUGCGACCAAAUGGUAACACAAGAUGGGUGUUCGAAUUAUCAUACGCCGUCAUCUCAGAAUUCAAUUAUGAGAUACGCGGCACCUUUUGAGAUUAAAUUUAGCCCGAGAGGCGUUGAUGUGACUUUCAGUGACCUCGGUCAAUGGAGGCAGCCAAACUCGUUUGUGCUCAUACGAUUGUCGUUGGCUACAGGCGAGAUACCUUGCAAUGGCGAAUGCGACAUAUUACCGAUAACGCGGUCCAGCCGGGCGAGAUAUUAUGUUUGGUCCGUUACACACGGCCACACGGACAUGGGCAAUCCUACAGGUCGGGGCCCCCCUGGGCGCUUCGCGCUGGGGCCCCGCCCAAAAAUACCCUAAGCGAAACCCCUUUCACACCCCGCGGCCCCCUCCCCCUCCCCCUCCCUCCCUCCUCCCCCCCCACACACGCGCGCAUACACACACAGGGAUUCCCUGCCAAAACCAUCACCCCGCAAACAUCCUCCGCACUCCUGUUGCCCACCCCCCACACACUCACACUCCAUACAUACACACACACACACACACACAACCCAAAGCACAUGGGCACAUAUCGAUCCCAGCCCCAAGCGUAUUCUCACCACCCCCUCACCUCACCUACCUAACCCCCCACCACCACCUAUCACCUCACGACACCUCACGACCCCCCACAGAUAGAGACUACCCCUCACCGUCCGGCGGCACUUCCGGGGCCUUAUCUCCAUACGCCACUUCGCUGCUGCUCCAUGUUCCCCCAGUCAAAUUCUUGGCCAGCUCCGAAACAACAUUUACGUUGGAGAUGUAGAGAGAACUGCUAGCAAGGCGCCGUUUGAUGGGGAGAUCGCCGAGCUGCACUUUGACUCCUGCAUACGGGCGGGUGUAUGUAUAUGUUCGCGGAAGUAUAUGUAUGUGUGUAUAUGUGUGCAUGUGUGUAUGUCUGUAUGUAUGUGCAUUUUUGUGUGUUUUGUGCGUAUUUAUGUGUAUGUGUGCAUUUAUACGCACGUAUAUAAAUGCGUAUUGCGAAGGUUGAACAAGCAUCAGGGGCUGCUGCCCAGCCCAAACACGAAGACCGCCUAACGCCGACGGGAGAGGGGCGCGAGGGGCCUAGAGCCGCCGGUCCGCACGAGUGAACAAAACUGAGUGAGUACACGAAAUAUUUCUUGUGCGCAUUUGCGUGCAUGUGGGACUGUAUGUGGGUUGAGGAGGGGCGAAUAGACGCAUGGGGGAAUUUGGCUGUGGCGACAAAAAAUGCACCCUUUGUUCGUCAACGCAGCCUCACCGCCUUCCUCAGCUUGUGCAUUCCUAACAACUGGAUCACUAAUUUUUACCUACACUGCCAUGGUACGGCAUUGCACGGCAGUGUACGGCACAUCCUUUCACGCUUACCGUCAUAGGUCUUCAGGCCGCUGUUCCAUAUGAAAUCACAGUCCAGGUCGGUCGGCCAGGACUCAUCCGGAUCGUAGCGGGCAAUGCUCGUAGUCACCCAGCGAAUCUUGCCGGGGAAAUUGCAAGAUAGCCGGAACGGUGUUGCCUACAGAUACCCGGAUAUCCGUAUCGUCCAAAAACGAAUGAUACAAAACAGAGGAUCCAGGGAGGGUACGGCAUUGGUCAGGAGGAAUUAGAGCGACAGAAAGGUAGAGAUAUGUGGCACUUUUCACCCCAAGGACGCACAAACUAACAUUAAGCUGCCCUGGAGUAUUAGUUUGUAUUGCGCUUAGAAAAAGACAAGGUGCAAUCUAGUCGAGAAGAAGAAUCAAGUCCGGCAACCAUUUCUACUUCCGAACAACUCCGAAAAUGUGCUUCGAAUUGUGCAAAUUUAUCGCUCAACUCAAAAAGCUCACCUUCUUCUCGAGGCCCUCGAUAGUUAAAUCUGAGCCAAGUGCAAUUACGGGCCGGGAGUAGACAACCUACAGUUGAAAACACCCGACAGCAAAGAGAUGGCACCUGUAUAAAGCCCUUGCACAUGGAAUGAUAAAGUAACAGAAGUGCGGUUUCCAAGUUGACCCUUACUCGCACUUCUCAACUUUGCAGAGGUCAUGAAACAAGCUAUUAUGGUCCAAAAAGUGAGAAACGUUUCAAGCUUUAUCAUCAACACUAAACAGUUGAUCUGCGUUUCGCGAUCGGCCUUGACCCGUGUCGUCUUCCCUCACCGUAAUUUGCUGCUUGCCCCACAUGUAAGCCUUCCGGGACGUCAUCAAUUCCGCUGGUGAGGAAACUGUAAUAUUUAACGGCAACGACGCCAUAAACGUACGCCCAGCAGUCGGCGGAGAGGCCGCUAGCUUGCGACCGGUACGCAUGGACAUCGCCACCUCCGCAGGAAGCACGAUAGCUAACAUAAUUAGGACAUGCGCGACUUUUCUCCUGUGGUGCUCAGCCAUUUUGCAAUAUUCUUGGCGGCGUUUCGGCCUCAAGCAGCGCAAAGUCGCAGGAGCUCUUCCAGGAUCCGAAGCCAAACACGACUUUGUAUCUCUUAGGUGAAGCGCAUGUCGUAAUAAUUGAGGACGGCCAGCGUAGUGGCUGGGAAUGAAUGAUGGCUUAGUCUUCUUUGAGCUUAGUUGACAGCUGGAUAGAAACGCGCGCCAGUAAGCUUCUGGUUCGAUAGAAAUUUAGCAUCAGUCACAUGUUGGCUUCAUGAUGUACACAUUCGCAUGACGUAGUUUCGUCCAAAAGGAAGCUUCCUGGUCAGCCAGCCCGCCCGCCAGGGUAUCGGGCCUUUUACAAAGCAUAUCGCUCUAAUCCUGUCGCUUAGGCCAAGAGCUCUUCACCUAUGGGGAUUCUCAGCAAUUGAAACAUUUAAAUUGUCAAGGUCUUUGUAGUCAGACAACUCGGGAAGCUGCACUGCACGUAACCAAGACCAAGUAGUGGGAAUGCCCGUGAGGCCUGGCAGGGACAUUCCGACAUUCAGGAUUGGCCUGUUCGGGGUGGCGAAUCAGGGAAGCACAGGAAUUGUGCGACCGGGGCAGCCCAAAGAAUUGCUCUCCCCGACCUUGUGUCCUACCCUAGCUAGCCCCUGACUCCUCCUCACAUUUAUUACUUUAUAAAAAGCUAAUGGCUUAUCAGCUGCAUCUUGUUUGAUUCAUCGUCCUGAUCGCAUUAUCUUGUUUCGUAACCUCAUUCGCUCUCCAAAUGCCCACGUUGCCUCAGGACAUCAACGCUUCACAGAUGUGCUUCUUAUUACCUGAUGUAUAAAGAUAUCGUUGGUGGUUGAUUGUGGGGCAUUAACGAUUGUGCAUGAACGAACUUUUCCUGCAUAUUCGGCUUAAUUGCUGGCCAAUCUUAUUCAUACCCUGUAUCUUGCUGUCGACAGAAUAUUUAAGAUACUUAGCGCGGUAUACCGGUAUGAACGUGUAUACCGGUACCGCCGGUAAUUGUUUUCGACUUCCCACUACCCGACACAAAACGACGAGUAACGCCAUCCUUGACGAACGACGUUCCCCUUUUCCUUGCUAUCUAGUCAUCUGCACACCUUAACCACUUCCUCCCCUGAAUUUAAACGAAGGCCAGUGACAACUGCCCUAUGGACGAGUAGAACAUGACUACAGAUCAAAACAAAAUGUGUAUCUGCAAUACACGAUGAUGGUGGCGGCACCGUAAGUGCACAAAUGGCAAAGCCGCGCCCAGUUACAGGGCCGCUACCUGCUGCCGCCAACCUGCCCGCCGCUCUUCGAGCUCCUGUUUUCAAGCUGCCAGCCGGUGACUCAUCGGGAUUAUCGAGAGGCCUCCCGCGGAGAACAAGUCCGGAGAACUUCCAGAGCGCUUCACUACGCGCGCUGCCAUUGCCAUCACCAUCGCCAUGAAGCUUAAGAGGAUGCAAGCACGUCCAGGCACAGACGGCAGAUAGACAGUCAUUAUUGCAUCAAGCCUUAACCCAAUCUUUCACGCAAACGACCAUGAGAGAGGAGUACCAAGUUAUCUCGCUCUAGUAAUAUUUCUUGAACCUUUAUUCGACUUUUGCGGCCUCGCUCAUUGCAGCCUCCAAUCGAUGAUAUGCCUUGCGCGCGUAAAAUCAUUCGUUGAUUAGAGCUAUGGCUCCUCCUCCGCGUGCGAAAUACCAAGGCGACGGGGAUGGCAACUUCACUGAGAAUCGCAGACCACGGCUCCACCAAAAUUUGCCCGAAAGGCGUGAUUUGCAGCCUCUAAUGCGGCCCGUAGGGCCGCACGCUGGACUUGAACUCUGUGUUUGAGCUUGAAUUGUUUUUAGGUUUACUGAUUGAAAAUAUGCCCUCCCGCAGCCGUAGAAACCGAUUUGCCGACCCUUGCUAACCGAUGAAUAAACGGGGAUUCCGGACCGGCUCCGGUCAUCGCCGGACCGGCUGCCGGACCAAAAUAACCAGCUUCCAGUCCGACUGUGCAAGCGCCUCAUUCACUUGGCACCAAAUAAAAUUCCCAUUAUUUUAAUCAAUCCAAUUUUUUUGUUUUCUGUCGGACAUUUUGAUUUUGUGGACGACGAGCUCCAUUAAGCCUCCCGUUCGCUCAACCGUUCCAUCUAGCCUUCCAUCAAGCCUGUUUCCCAGCUUUAAAAUUAUCAGGCUUUGAUUUAGCUCAUAUGCCUAACGUAGAUAUCAUAUAGCUGCGCGCAAUGGAGCAGAUGUAUGACAAUGCGCGCCAUGGCGGCAAUCUCGUAUGGGUCGCGGCUGCGGGGCAGGAGGUCGAGGAUGCAGUGGAGCAUGCAGUAGAGGAGCCGCCUCGGUAAGCUUACUUCAGCCUACUGUGCCUUGGUUUCAUGGUGGAUGGCGUUACUUCCUUGAGCUGGAGGCUAUUGUCACCCCUGUGCACCCUGAGAUGUACAAAUGUCCUGUAAAGGCAGCGCAAAAGGUGACUCUCCGAAGAGUUCUGGCUAGCGGGGCUGGGGAGGCGGCAGCGGCGGUGCAGAGUGGUGGAACACGCAGCGGGGCUGGGGAGGCGGCAGCGGCGGUGCAGAGUGGUGGAACACGCAGCGGGGCUGGGGAGGCGGCAGCGGCGGUGCAGACUAGGUGGAACGGGUGGCGGGGCUGGGGAGGCGGCAGCAGCGGUGCAGACUAGGUGGAACGGGUGGCGGGGCUGGGGAGGCGGCAGCAGCGGUGCAGACUAGGUGGAACGGGUGGCGGGGCUGGGGAGGCGGCAGCAGCGGUGCAGACUAGGUGGAACGGGUGGCGGGGCUGGGGAGGCGGCAGCAGCAGUGCAGACUAGGUGGAACGGGUGGCGGGGCUGGGGAGGCGGCAGCAGCGGUGCAGACUAGGUGGAACGGGUGGCGGGGCUGGGGAGGCUGGGCGACACAAGAAGCAGUGUACCAAUGGUGGUGCUUCUAGAUCCAAUUGCGGCAAGGGUGCGCAGGUUCUAAAUGCUUACAUGCUGUUCUGCAAGGAGCAGCAUGAGUUGGCAACUUCUCAGGGCACCACCAUUCAUGUGAAGUACGGGGUGCCAUCAGCAGGCGUCUCCGGCCUGCUGGGCAAGCUGUGGUCGGAGUUGCCCCUGGCGGAGAAAAGUGCAUACAGUGAGAAGCUGCCGCGCUUAAGGCGGCUAAGGACAGCUUCGAUACCUGAGGCCAGACCCUUGCCUUUCUGUGAUGUAACCGUUGCUUGUAAUCAACCACAUCCCAACCUGUCAGCAAAUUCCCAGGACAGCUUCGGUACCUUAGGCCAUACCCUUGCCUUUCUGUUGCACAAUGUGUCCGCAAUCAGGCUUGGUGCGGUCGGGAGGUUAGGUAACGUGGGGCUGACAGCUGGGUGGGAGAAAUCCGGGGUAACGUGCUGGGUGCGGGUUCCGUGGUGGAUGUGCGGACCAGCGCAGGGUACACGGAUCAAGUUCGUCGAACAACCUGUCAGCCGACAGACUUGGUGUCGUAUCCAAAAGCCUAAACACAUCAUUCUGCCCGACUACUGCAACCCCAACGUCGACAAGUAUGCAAAAGGUCCUGAUUCCUCAGCACUAGCUUCCACCGUCGCACGCUAGACCCGUUCGCGAGUAGCCCACACCGUCGGCGCUGCAGCUGCCCUCAACAGACUUCCAUGCCCUGUCGGCGUCGGCGCUGAAGCCACCCGCAUCAGACCGGCAUGCCCCGCAGGCAGAACUCCAUCGUUUUCAUCAUGCUUUCAGGUCUUAGGUGUUAUCAUUACCAAAAUUUCAUCGAACUUCACUGUUACUUGAGGUCUUAGGUGUUACGGACUGUGAGGGUGUUCCACUUCCAACUUCAAUUUAAAGGAAACAGAAAAUAAUACUUUUCUUAUUUCAUUUUUCAUGUGCGCGUACAUGUGUGUGUGUCUCCAUGUGUCUCAAAGCAACCCAAACAUUCGCGAAGACCGGUCGCGCGCGUCGGCCUGACCGCUCAAAACGCUGGCUAUGGUCAUACUUUAUCACUAGGACAUGAUUGGGAGCGUCGAGCAGCACCUUUUCGGUCCAAAUUCUGCGGGUCCGGUUCCGGUCCAGUGGCCGGUCGCAAAGGCUGUCGUACCCGGUCCGGCCGGCGGGGCUAACCAACGGCAGCUAGGCUGCAUCUACUCAAAACUAUCUCCGUACGCAAACCGAACCGCUAUCAUAUUGGAAAUUGCAAUGGUUACUUGUAAUUUUAUGCAAUAAUUUGAAAGAACUUAUCAAUCACUAAGCAGCGGCUAAGGCUUAGCACUACCGUAUUUUACUUACAACGGGAAUUGCGUACAGGAGAUCGAUCCUUGACUGCCUUUUCAAAAUUAUUCGUCACGUCUGAUAACGCCAUGCUAGUUUCAAACUAUAUUGCAAUCAUGCGCAAGUGAAGUCUCAGGAGAUGUAGGGAAUGCCUGAAAACGCCGAUGGGCCCGCCAGAGUAAGUCCCAUAGAGGACAUUUGGUAGCUCUAAAGCAUCGUUUGUGACAUAUACUGUGCAAAUGUAUAGGUGCGUGGCGAUCCGUAACCGAGCAAGAAGUUGUGCUGACCGCGUCGUGGACAUGUACAAGGAGUACCCUCGUGAGCUUUUCGGCUUUGAGAAUGUCAAGCUGCAGCCUGGCGUGCUUACAUUCCGCACUAUCCUACGUAGCCGGACAUCAUCGUCCAAGCGGAAGGCAUUUUUCAAGGAGGUCAGCUCCUUAGCAGUGGUGGACUUUGCCGACAGCCUGUGCAGCAUACUGACCCGUCUUAAACCUGCUCCUAGCGUGCGCGCCGCGGCCCACACAGGACAGCGAGACAAGCCUUUAAAGCCUUUCAAGCGGUGGUACUAGUAAGGUGCAAGGGGCAUGGCCGCCGCCGCCCCGGCCGCAGCACGCACGCUUGGAGCAGGUUUAAGGAGGGUCAGUAUGGUGUGCAGGCGCUAACUCAAGGAGCUGAACUCCUGCCUCAUGAAGAUGCCUUCCCAUUCCACAGAUGGCCCUGCACUCGAUCCACUCUGGAAGUUGAUGAUAAAAGACGUAAGGGAGUGGAGGGGAAGCUUUAUGGAUUGGCGGCUACAAUCAGCAGGUCCCUGCAUGUUAACACCUGCAGCAGCAGUAGCAGCAGCAGUAGCAGCAGCAGCAGCAGCUUGCUUGAUGAUGCCCACCGUCCGUAGUCCCUGAGCAGCCUAUCCCUAUCCGCCAUCUCCCAUGGGCAGCCUGAAACAAGCGCUUGCUCACCUCCUGCACCACCACUGCCGACCUACCUCCUGAGCGCAAGCUGUGCAGCGUAAAGUGCUUCGGGGCCUCCCCAUUGGGGAUCCCGUGGAUCUUCACCAUGUACAUCAACACUUAUGUUGUGUCAUACGACUGUAGCAUUGACAAAACAUGUACGUACAGCAGACUAACCCCCACAUCUCAGCAUAAGACACGAGCUUUUUGCACUGUCAGCCAUUUAGGGUUGACUGCCUAUGCAGCGUAGGCUAUGCAGGCAGUUCUGGUGCAACUUGAUGCUGUCAGAUGACUUCUUGUCUCACCGGCCUUCCUCUUGCAUUCAGGCUUUUGGCCCUCUCCCAUGUUGCAUACUUCACUGCCUCCAUAUAUAUGCUGUGGUCCCUCCCAUGGACACAAAAGCCCAUGACACAUGUAUCUCCCACAUUUUGAUUCCACUCGUGGGAAGCCCUAUCCUCUCUUGCCCAUACACACAGCUCAGGUAGGUUGUUGUUGUUGUUACAUGGUCGUGGGUGCGUUCCCCGUACCUGCAAACUACCCUAAUACGAGCCGAGGGCUCAAGGGCUGCCAGAUCGCCUAUAAGCACCAUCCUACCUCGCACUUCCAACGAAACAAGUGAUGAAGGAUACUAACGACCAAAGGGAACGAUAGAGUUGCGGUGGGACCAUAUACGUUCCAGCAUCCUUGCCAGGCGUUCAGGUUCCCACUUCAUAGCGUCCUUCAUAUGCUCGAAGCGUGGGAAACCCAUAUCAGAUCUGAUUUUGUCGUUCACCGGACAGUCCAGCAAAAUCUCAUCCUCGAUAUGGCUAUCAGUGCCGCAGCAAGGGCAUACUCGCUCCUCCCUAGGUAUAUAACGCCGUCCCUUACGCGCUCUGUUAGCCGCCAAUGCCCAACAGCAAAGCCUAAACUGCAUAAGCUUGCGGUUCGCUGAACGCGGGAUAAACAUUGUGAUAUGCGGAAGCACCUCCUUGCCCGCUUGCUCGGCCGCCAGACCCAUCCAAUACUUCGCCAUGUGUAGUCCUGGUUGCUUGCCGUCUGACGGGUACACGUUAGGCUGGACAUCUAAACGCGUAUGCUUCCAACCACCCACUAAUUGGUCCUUGAACUCCAAAACCACACCUUCUGGCAUUGGCCUGUUCAUCAGCCACUCCACUCGUUCGUCUACCUCGUGUAGCCCUUGCGGGGCCUCUUUCCAUACGUCGUGCCCCAAAAAACAUAGAAAACGGAGGAGUAGUGUCCCCCAUCAGGUAGGUAGGUGAUGAAGCUAGCUCUGUACUUGGCCAUUGUUGUUGUGGUUGUUACAGUGGGCUCCAGUCUCACGAAGAGUAGAGCCAGCGGGCCGUGCACUGCACUAGAGACUAACAUACAAACUAGACUCCCACCCAAAUGACCGUGUUAUGUCAACAGAGCUGCGGGUGGUCUCAAUCCACCAAGCCUGCGUAAAUUGUGUUCUGCAAGUCUUUAAGCGGGCAAGUGCUAUUUAUCUUUAGUAGAUGCGUUCUUGCAAAGAGGGCCCUAUGUAGCUCUUUCCAUAAGGAACAAACAUAUGGUCCUGCCUGCUGUCUGCUGUCGGGCCGUGUCUGACUCCCCUACCAGACUCGUCCACACGUAUUACUUUAUGUGUUACAUGGUCGUGGGUGCGUUCCCCGUACCUGCAAACCGCCUUAAAACGAGCCGAAUAAUAGCUGCACCGGCUAAAGAGGACAUGACUUGUUUCAUUAUUCGCAUUCUCGAAACUCCUCAGAUAUUAGGCGUGGGUUCAGCUGCCAUCAAACCAGAUUGUACCCUGAACAAAUGCUUUAGUGUUGCACCAUUGUUGUGCGGUUCAUCCGGCGUCUUGAGUUUGCAAAACCAGCCUCACCUAAUAGUAACUAACUAGGAUUACUGACCCAGACGGAUUCCAGACUGGACGGACCGCAGCAGGGUCCGUGAAACGGGUUUCACCUCUCCCUUGAUGCACUGCAUUUUGAGUCCUCUAUAUAUGGGUUCAGCGCGGGUUUGUGUACCGGUCAAAAGGGAAAUCUGUAAUUGGGCGGAGCCCGGAGUUCGAACAGUGGUCGUAUCUACAUGGGAACCUGUGUCUUCAUGAAGGUCUUUGUUGGGCAGGAUAGGUAGCGGCACCCCAACCUACUUGCCUUCAGCUGCAAACCAUAGUUACAUGUACAUGUCCCGACCCAGCACCAAACACCACCCCAACCUACUACAUCUAGUUGCAAGUCGUGUGGCACUUCCGUUCAGGUGCUCCACUGCAUGGGUAACCCUUUGACGUCCCCCUGAUGCAACGGGCGGCUCCUGAAAACCCCAGGUAGCCGUACGUGCAGGGUGCGGCACGACGGGCAAUUGUGAUGACGACUUUUGACGCAAACUGAACUUGAACUUGUGCCCAACAUAAUGCGUGUACAGAUCCACACAGGGUGCGUAAGUAUUGCGACGCUGGUCAGCCAGGGCAUGGGCGAUGGAGGGCAUGCUAAGCGAUGUAAAAGUAAUCGCAGUCCACGGUCACACAAGGGUAGCUUGAUGGUUGCCACGGCUAUGCUUUGCAUGGAGGAAGAGCUUAAUUGGGCCUAUCGACAAACCUAUACCUGCUGUGAUGUUCGACGAGGGCAGGUCUUUUGAUAAACGGGCCGAACCGCAGCCUUAUAAUGCCACGAAGAUUGGCGUCUUCUCAAGCGGCGGUGAUUGACUGCGUGUAGGCACUAGUGCGUUGUUGAGCUUCAGCUUAGGACCACCCCCAUGCGACGCUGCCGGAUGCGCUCGUGCACAAACGAGCCUAGCAAUGUAUCACUCAUUACACGGAGGGGCAUAUGACACAGGAGUAAGGGCCUCGUAAUCGCAUGUUGGGAGCCUCGUUUUCGGGCGGACAUGCGGAAGAGAAUCUGCAACGAACUGCCGUACAUUGUAUGGUGAGACCUGCCUUCCAAAUGCUCGACAGGGUCAUAAUUUGUCAAGCAGUUGUUUGCAAAGCAAUAUUCCCCCAAUUUUGUUGAGGGCCUGUCGGCCACCGCAAACUACUUUGUACGUAUAAACGCUGUUGCGCUACGUAAGGUUUAAACAACGCGAAUAUUACCCUAGUGGCCCUGCUGCUAUAAGAUGCUAACCUGCAAUGCUAAUGGAAUUCAUUUACGGCUUCGUCCUGCACCUUCUUGUUGAGGGCUAGUUAGUCGGACAUCCAGCCAUUCCUAUCUCUCUUUCAGUACGUGAACAUUACCUUCUGUAAGAUCUCAGAAUUAUCCUGACAAAAGAUUUGACAUUUCAAGAGUUUUUUUGCCGAAGAGGUAGAGCUGCUGGUUGACACCGUAUCAUGGCGCAAGUUGCCGAUGAGUUCAGCGAAGCGAUGGAAAAUCUGGUGAGCGGUAGCAAGGAACAAGCUUUAUGCUUGUGCCAGAGUAGCCACAGGCGCAGUCCUGCCUUCCUGCAGGAGGAUGUUCACGAGCUACAGGAUAAAGACCCUGAGCCGGAUGUACAUGGUCAGGGCGGGUAUCGGUUCGAUUCACCGGAACAUCAACAGCAGCUCAAGGAGCAAAGGGCGAGUAUGGGCUCGGCGGUUCCUUUCCAACAACGAAACCCUGCGUCGAUACGCCCAUCUUACUCCUUGCGUUUCUCUGCAUGAUUCUAUCUUUCUGGAGCAGGCGCAACUAUGGAACUGGUUAAAGAGGGUAAGCUGCCUUGUAAGGGCAUUGAAUGUUUGCAAAAGUCCAUCAACAACCUGGCGGCUUCGUCGCCAUCCCAUGCUAUCGACUUAUAUAGGAAGUGCCUAUGGCUACUUAAAUCGGAGCCAUUUUGCGCUGCCGCCUCCGUCGCCCCGUUCUUGGCCUGACCAUCUUUCCGACUGGCUGCCCAUACGUGGCGCCGAAGAGGUCUGACACUUGUAACGUCGAUACAUGUAAUAGCAAAUUGGAACACUGUUUUUGGACGGCCCAACGUGCAUUCACAUUGACCGCCCCUUGUCACUCCCACCAAACCCAACCCCUUGUCUCACUUCUCCCUCCCACUCCCCCCACAACACGAAUGCGAUCCCGGUAACAACCCUUACCCUCCACAACAAUUAAUCUUCCCGCUUUCUUAACCAUGCGCCAUACGCUCAUCCCGUUCCUCCGUCCCUUAAGUCUGACACCCAAUCGCGUUUCAUGUCACAUCUCCCCACACCACAUCGACACGUCCUCCUCCCCCACUCCUUCCUACCAACCCUAAUCCCCCCUUUUCCCUCCACCGACACUACCCCACUGCCCACUUGCCGUAUGCCUGCCGAAUUUUUCACCAGAUGGGCAGCCACAUUUUCAAGGAGGGUAUUAAUUUGACCAAGAUUUCCUUGCCGGUCUGUCUUUUUGAGCCUCGAUCAUUUUUGGAGCGCCUAACCACCAACUGGGAAUACAACUCGCUGCUGGUGGCCGCCGCGCGCUGCACGGACCCAGCGGACCGGUUACGGUUCAUUGUGGCCUUUGCGAUUUCCGGUCUUUGCCGCCAAGUCUCAUUUCACAAGCCCUUCAAUCCCAUUUUGGGGGAGACGUACCAGGUUGGCGAUUGAAGGAGGGGAAGGGGGGGAGGGAGUGGGACAUUUGGGUUGAGGAAUUUAGGAAGUUGGUAAUUGUGAGUGGUUCAGAUUUUGGUCAUAGCGGUAAUUGGGUUACGGCAGGGAGGGACCGGGGAGGGGAGGGUAUGCCGAGUGAGAGAGCGGGGGCCGUAGGGGUAGGCAUGACAGUGUGGCGGUGUCGGUGGUAUCGAUGGGAAGUGGGGAAGGGGGGAGAAGAGAAUUUAGAGAAGGGGAAGGGAAGAGGAAGCUGCAGUGAGGAUCGGGUAAUCGAAGUGGCUAGGAGCACGAAGGAGAGGAGGAGAAUUCGGGUUUGGUUUUCGGUUAACAGGAAAGAAGUGCAGAAUAUCCAGUUGAUUACCUGGAAGGUGUUGGGGACCUUUUGUCAACUUACCUUAAGUUGGCCACCUUGGCUUCUUCUUCUUCUUCUUCUUCUUGCCGCAUCUUACUAUAUUUCCCCCAUGUUUCACGUUCCUGGGAGCUGUUGCUGUUGAGGAGGCUGCUGAUGAGACUGUUUUGCCCCUCCUCCCUGACUGCUUCACUCCCGCAUAUUUUUCCCUGUGAAUGCAAAACUCCCCAACAACAACCCAAAGACCCAAAACCCAAAUCACGCGUUUUUCAUUGCUUCAGGCGGUGUACCCAAAUGGCAUCGAGGUGUACUGCGAGCAGAUUAGUCACCACCCGCCCAUUAGCAGCUGGGAGGUCUACGAGCCAAGCGGAAAGGUGAGUGAGGGCUUCCCCACUGUAUGUAUGUAUGUGUGUAUGUGUGUAUGUAUGUAUGUAUGUAUGUAUGUGUGUGUAUGUAUGUAUGUAUGUAUGUAUGUACACACGCAUUAUGUUCCCCCUUCCUGUCGGCCCUCCUGUUGUAGUUUGUGUUUCACGGCAACGGGAACUGGGUCGCCGGCAUCAAGGGCAACAACGUCAAGGGACGUCAGACGGGCAUCAAUUGCGUGCGCUUCGCCAGCGACGACGCCGUCGUGGAGUACGAGUUGCCGGGGUUGCAAGUCAAGGGUGAGGGGGGAAAACAAGGGGAGGAGGGAAAAGGGGAGAAAAAGGGGGAUUGAUGACCUCGACGACGACGGCGCGAUGGGCACCCUGCGAUAGUUGCCAUGGCAGUAGCUGCAGUGGCAGUAGCUGCAGUGGCAGUAGCUGCAGUGGCAGUAGCUGCAGUGGCAGUAGCUGCAGUGGCAGUAGCUGCAGUGGCAGUAGCUGCAGUGAGCCCCAACUGCCGUGCCUCUUAAGUAACAUCGUCUUGGCAACACCGCAUGGGCGACCCUCCAUCACCCUGAAGCCCUCCUGGGAGCCAUUUUCGACACACACGCACGCACGCACGCACGCACACACACACACACACACACACACACGCACGCACGCACGCCCACCCCCCCCCCACACACCUACCUCUACACCCCCCUGCUGCGUGUGAAUCGGUGGCAGUUUGUUGUCUUCUAUGACUCUCUAUGCAUCAUAUUAUUCCCCCACCAGAUUCAUCUGCGAAAUUAGAUCUCAUUAUUAAGUUUACUAAUAGUAUGUUGCCUAGUGCCUAAUGGAUGCGGCGUGAAUUUGUUGCCUAUUUGAGGAGCAAUGUGUGGUUGUUAGCAGCACUACCACCAGCAGCACCGCCAUGCGCCGCCCGCGCUUGCAGGUGUGUUGUGGGGCGUGCGCGUUCUCAAGUAUAGCGGCCAGAUGGUGUUCAAGGACAAGAAAAAUGGCCUGCAGUAAGUCGUGUGUUGGUAUAUAUGUAUGUAUGCAUGUGUGGGACACGGGGGGCAUAUCUUCACCCGUAGCAGCUACCCUGCGAAACCCUGCCUUCCCCGGUAUUUCGGGGCACCCUCAUCCAGUCACCCUAGUCAACUUCUCAGUGGAUCGCUCAGGUUCCGCACCCACCACCAGCAUUCAACGGAAUCUGCCGGGUCGACGGCGGCCCAACUCCAUUCCUGGUCGGCUCGCAGGUUAACUUUAUCCCAGGUCACCACCGUCCAUCGACUAGGGGCACUAUUACCUUCAAUCAUUGGAAGGAUUUCCGACCCUGACAGGUCUCGAUCCCGGAACCUCCGGGGGCAUUAGUAUGUGCCUUACCAGUAGUGCCUAACCUGAGUAUGUAUGUAUGUAUGUAUGUAUGUAUAUAUGUCGUCUUACCCCUCCCCUCCCCUCCUUGCUGGUUACCUUCACGGCUCCCGUCCUGCUUUCCCAACUGCUCCGUUAUCUCCCUUCUCGAAAGAUCAGCACGGUCAUCACCACGGUCAUGUCCCCUCUCCCUCACAUCGCUAUUCCCUGAUACCCCCCCCCCCGCCCCUCUGUCCGUUUCCAAUCGCUUCGUCCAACCCGCUCAGGGCCGUAAUUGACGUGGACCCUCCAGCACCCAGCGCCGGCUUCCUUUCGGGCUGGUUUCGUGCCAAGAAGGGACCGCCACACAAGCCGGACCAAGUGUUUGGGCGGCUCAUGCAGGGCGACACGGUGUUGGACACGUGUCACGGGUCUUGGCUGCACUACCUGGAGUGGGACAAGGGUUUGUCGCCGGCGGCCGGUGGCGCAGCCGCCGCCUCGUCCACUCGGCGGCUGUGGGACAUCCGCACCUCCCCUCUGACGCCCGCAGCCCCCCUGGAUAACCCGCUACCCAGCGACUGCCGACACCGUGAGGAUGUGGUGUACCUGAAGGCGGGAGAUCAGGUAGGAAAAAGGGAGAAAGGGGGAGGGAGGGAGAGGGGAAGGGGGGUUAAAGCCAGGUUGUUGGGGAGUUGGGGAGGGGAGAGCGUGGGGAUUGCAUUAGUGUGACUAGGAUGUGAGUAGGAUGUGACUCAUUUGCCAUUUAGGAUGUGUGUGGGGGGAGGGAGUAGCUGAAAUGACUGACACGUACGUAUCAUUUCAAAAAGCGGUGUUCAAGCUAUAGGGUACCUCGCACUAGGCGCCUACUCGGGGGCGACGUCGUGGACAACCUUUCCUGUCCUAGUGACAUUCCGUUCCGUGCCCGUCCCUGUCGUACAUCUGUCCCUGUCGUACAUCUUCCCCCGGUGAUACUCCGGCUUGGCCUUGUCGAACGCAGCUGCUGGUCGUCGAUGCCGUACCUUCAUCCUCUUUGACGGCCGGUAUUUCAUGAUGCCCUCUUUUCUUGUCUUGUUCGUUUGAAGUUUUUUAUGUCUGUGAUUUUGUGUGAUUGCAAACUAUCAACAGGUUCAAUCUCAGGACUGGAAGCAGACAUUGGAGGAGCAGCAGCGCAGGGACCGCAAGCUCCGGAAAGAGGGUGGCUGCGCCUUUGAUCACUGAACGGCUGCUGUACAAGGCGGCGGUGGAGGCGCGUUGUGUGUGUGUCUGUGUGCGCGUGGCUCUCUGUGUGUGUGUGUGUGUGUGAAUCUGUGUGCGUUGUGUGCGUUUUUGCUGUUUUCUCGUGACUUGGGAUGACAUAGAAUUAAAACGUCUGGUUUGCUGGUCCGGAUUGGGGACGAACCAGAGACGUCUGUGUUUGCUGCCACUUGAAUUUAUUGGUUUUGCUACUACCUACAAGUUGCCCCCCGAGGUCCCCAGCAUCAUCAUGUCCCCUCGGCAUCCGGUGUCGUGUCAUUCUGAUCAUUAUCAGGUUCCUUAGCCUCCAACUAUGUUUUGAUGUACAUAACAUACGCCUCUACGUCGCGCGUGUUCUGUUCAUGUGUCUGUUUGUAUGUCUGUUUGAUGUCUGAAAGGACAGGGCACAAGCGGCCUUGUCCUUUCAGAAGGUAUAGCACGAGGGGCCUAAGAAGGGCUGCGCGCAUUUCACGCACGCAAUUGUAUUUCCCUAAAGGUUCCUGGUGCUCGUCCUAAGCUCCGUCGUACCGUCCUCGACGCUUUUUGGAAGAUGUUUUGUCGCUGGGAUGCUGCAGGCUAUAUAUCUAUGUGAGAACACACCCAAUGGACGAAGUUGGCGGGCCCCACCACACACGGGCGGUUUGGGAGGAGUGAUUCCUCCUUAGUGAUCUAUCUGGACACGCAGCUGGUUGGGAUCAGGGUUUUAGGGGGGGUUUGACGAAGUUUUGGGACGUGUUUUUGGGCCGAGACGGGGUAUCACAGCCCGCACACUGCACAGGGGCAUAUAUACGGAAACCAUAGGGACAGAGGUAGCAUUUGACAUUUGGGUUUUGGGUUGGGAGGAGUCCAUAGACGCUGGUAGGGGUUUGGUAUUGCUAUCGCUAUUUGCGCUGGUAUUAACGCCGAUAUGCGCUUGUGACGCGUAAGAGACUUUAGGCUAAUAAGACCUAGGCCUUAAGAGACACAGAGAGACAGAGAGAGAGACAGAGAGAGAGAGAGAAGCGUACAGGGGGACGGGAACAGGAAGGAAGAGCAGCAGGAGGACGACUGGUUCGUAAAGGCUUUUGAUGAUUUGGGGAGUUUGGACGGUUGUGUCUUGCCGUACCGUAAAACAGCGUCAGCAGCAUCCCCCAUUUACCCAGCGAGGCAGUUGUUAUUAUAACACUGCACAACGGGCAGGGCUGUGGCAUCUCAGGGAGGUGUGAAACAUGCUUCACACUGACAGUGACGAGUGUCCCUUUUUUGAUUGCGUGAUGAGGAUGACGGCGGAUUGCAGACCGGGGGCGUUUAGCUUUUGGCGUGCAUGUGGGCGCCUGGGCGGGGAGGGACAGGUGCUACCGCUUUGGAGGCUGUGGAAAGCCACCAACAGCCGGGCAGUCUCGUGCAGGAAGAAGGCUGGCAAAGGGACAAAGUGGUAAAGGUGGCUCCCUGUAAACAGGAGACUGUGGGAAGGGCGCCGCCGGUGCGGUCGUAUCCACAUGAUUUGCUGCGGCCGUUUGGUGCAGGAUGUGAAUGCAUGCGGCAUGUGCGCACCGCUGCUUUUGGCCAUUCCCUGCGCGGUGCCUCCCGUCUUGUAGUGCUGCACACGACGGGAGGGCCUCAAGAUGCUUUUUGUCGAUGGUGUUCGAUUUGUUUUAGUUUUAGGUGCUUUCCCUUUCAGAACCUUUCCUCCGACCACCCCGGUCCUUUCCUCUGGCACGUGGGCGCUUUCCAGAUCCCAAAUUCCAUAACUCCCCAUGGUGGUCAGGGAAGUGGGUGUUUCCGGGUCCUGAGCCUUCCCGAGGGGACACCGAGUUGUUGGGCUGUGCGUGCGGCGGACGCACGGGGACCGCGGUGUGUACAGGGAUGUGGGUUGUUGGGGAGAGGGCAGAAAGGAGCUGCUGUGCAGCGGGUGUGUGUGUAUGAAGCCGUUGACAGACGCGGUCACAUCCUGCUACACGUAUGUACCUCCUGACACGUGUGAAACGUGCUGUCGCGUCGUAGUGGUAAAAAGGACGUGAAGCGGCUUGUGUAGCGUGGCUAUGUGUGUCUCUGUGUCAUUUGUGUGUGUGUGUUACUGGUGAACGAGAGCGAUGAUGGAUGGAAGGGUGGAUGGAUGGGUGGGGGAAUUGUGGCGGCGCAGUGCGGCAUUCGAGAAUGGAUGAAUUGUGAGAUAUGAUGACACCGAUGACAGACAGACAUACAGACAGAUGCUCAAACGGACGGAAGGACCGGUAGACAUCAAGGGGCGAUCUAUUAACGUAUUGGUUACAUAAUGUAAAUACCCUAGCUGACGGAUGCACAAGCAGACAGACAGACAGACAGACAGGAUAGCAGCAGGCUUGGAAUCUGUAUUAUAACCUCCUCCUACCCAUGAAGCCGUAGUGGGGCUUAAAGAGAAGCUCAAGCAAUAGCAGCCACAAAAUGGCUACAAAUGUGGCGCUAUUGUCAUAUAUACAUAUAUAACCCUUUAGCCUAGUUUGUGUUUUGCGUUGCGGACUGCUGCCAGGAGGCGACUGUGGGCAGAUAACCAGACACGGGCCCGCGGCUGAAACGUCCUAAAGCCCAAUCCGCCGGCCACACCGUAACCAAGAAGCAUGCGAAUCCCGGGACUGGGAGAUAACUCCGUAGUAUUGUGGGAAAGACGAUGAGAUGGUGUAUAUGGUGAGCAGGUACAUGCAAUAUGGUGGGGAGGUACGGUACGUUGGUUUACAGCUGCUGCGCUGUGGCGUACGACGCGACUCUUUGUUACGUAAUUGCCAGCAUGGGGUGUGUGGUUAGGGGCUGGGCGGGGAGGGGAAGGAGUAUCGGAAGGGGGAGAGAAAGAGAGAGGGAAGGAGAAGAUCCCAGUCGCCCUGAACUGCAGGAGCAGCGGGUCUGUAACGUGAUGGUGAUGAGGACCGGGUGGGUAUCCUGGCGUGCUCACUUCGUGUGUCGCUGCUGGACAUCGCUGCUGGAAUCGUAAGCUCUGGCGAGCACAGCGUGAGUAGCUGGGUUGUUCUUGGGGGGAUGUUAUGUGAUAACGUGAUGUAGGAGAUGUGUGUUAGCCACGAUGCACGACAAUCGUGUUUGGUUGGCGGUUGGUUGGCAGCAGCAGCGCAGCGCAGCAAACCAUUUGCUGACUAGGAAAGUCCGCAAAGCAGAGUCAGCGCUGCCAGGCGCCAGCCAAACAUGGCUGUCGUACUUCGUGGGUGAUGCAUCUGUGUCUCAUUUCCCCUAGCGAACUAACCGUUUCCCCCUCACCCUUCCGCCCGCCAUCUGCCCUUCCCCCGCCGCAUCAUCCUCGUAACCGGCUGGUGGCGAGGCGGGUGAACGACAUCCCGUUCUCAUGCUCUGCGGUUCGGCGGCUACGGUAUCGUCGCAUUUUCCUGCCUUAUGCCUUAUGGCCCACCUCCUAGACUUAGGGUUCGUAAGGCUUCGGCUGCAUCGCUUCCUCUUGCAGUUAUAAAAAUGCGAUCUACAUGAUGCUCAAUUCAGCCAAUAUGUUUAGGCACCGGCUCGGAAGGAACGACCUUGCAAGCUGCCCGUGCUAGCCUUGAUGAGCAUCGCUUGUCACUCUGGGCCUCGUCAUAUGCUGAAAAUAAUACAGCUGCCGCGUAAAAUAGCACAGGAUAGCAUCAUAUGCGUCUGCCGCACUCCUGCCUUCUGCGGGAUAUCCGCUGUCAACUAGGGGACUCCUUUGCCCUCUACUAUUCCUGGGGCAGUAGAGGGAAGGAGCUCAUGCGGCUGUGGGCGGCACUACGUGCCUGUCGAUAUUAGCACCUUGCUUUCUAUUUUAUUCAGCAAGAUAGUGCCCAAUAUUGAGAAACACAGGAUCCCGAUGGGUAAUGGACGCCUGGACGAUGCAGGGUGUUGUAUACUGUUUCUUAAAUCUGGCUCCAAACUUAUACAUUUUCUGUCUAGUUUUUCCUUUUUCGCUUGGCGCGGUUGCUGGACAAGUUCGCGGGAACUAACUGAAUUCCAUCUGCCUAUUUUGCCGCCUUUCCGUCAGAUCUUAUGGCUCCGACCUCCGGGUCAGACGGCGAACGGGAAGCUGUCAUGGAUGCCUACAAGUAAACGCUGCCUCAGGCGGAAGUCUAUACUUGCAGAAGUAUGGGCGGGGGUCGUAGUACAGGCUACGACUGGGACGCUGGUCCCAGCCCCGUCAUCGAUUGGAAGCAUGGAUCAACGGUACGCCAUUCCGGGACUGGACCGCGCCAUUUCGGAACUGGCUGUCCGAUUCAUUGGAUGGCUGCAUCCCCGCUACUUAAGCGGACAAAACUCUUCCAAUCGAUGUCUUCCGACGCCACCAUCCCGCUGCAGUUGUGCUUUGGUUAAAUAUAACAACACUGAUCAAUUGAUCUACUAGAUAUGAAUAAUCCUUCAUCUCCUAUUCCGAUUCCUGCAGAGAAACACACCGCGAGGUCGCGCCACGUCAGGACGACCGCCGGCGAUGUAAGGAACAACAUCGCUACCCGCGAUUUGCCCGCUGGGGUCAGUGAUGAGAUGAUUAGGAUAAAUAUUCCGGUACCUGGGCUUAGUAUCGCUGCCGAUAUUAAGCUUAAGUGAUAUUUAGCGGGAGGUUGCGCCACGUGUCCGCGCCUUCAUUCGUGAUGUGUAGAAGAGCUUGCUGCAGGGCAACAUCACACUUGCUAAACUUCGUUCUCAAACCCGCGUGCUUCUGCGUGCUUCCACCGCUGUGCAGGAUCCCGCGCCCAUCAUCACUGACGACGGGGACCUCCUGGCACCGGAGGUCAGGCCUCGGGCUGCUACUGCUGCCGCUGGGCGGAACACAGCUCGCCAGGCCUCCGGUGCUGGUGAGUCGAACCGUGGGCAAUGGGCCUAACCGCAGAUAAGUGAAUGAAAGGGCUGUUGCAGAGUGCUGCGUUUAGGGUUUCAACAGAUUGCUUGGCAUACUCGUUUCCCAUGUGUGUCAUGAUUGCAAUGAAAAUGCAGUUGCACUGGGUGUCAAACAUGUAUCAUGGGGCAAGGGGGCCUGAUCGAGAUCAGUCACUGUUUAAUCCCUGUUAUUCCACCAGCAAUUGCUGUGAUGGUGACGGAGUCAGCAGUGGCCACAUCAAAAGGGUGGGUAAUGUGGCAGCAGAGCCGGCAGUAGUGGUAGUGGAGACUGCUGUGACAACGAGAGAGCCAGUAGCGGUGAUAUCAAGGUGGUUACGUUGGCAGCAGAUAUCACUGCUACUGGCUCUGUCGCUGUCACAGCAGUCUCUGCUGCCACUACUGCUGGCUCUGCUGCCACCCUUGAUGUCGCCACCGCUGACUCCAUCACCAUCACAGCAGUUGCUGGUGGAAGCACAGGGAUUAAACAGCGAAUAGUCUUGAUGAGGCCCCCUUGCCCCAUGAUACCUGUUUGACACCACUUCAGCUGCUAGGCGGCUAGGCUAUCUAACAUAUGCGCUUAUACCGCCUUCAAAAGCAAACGGGGUCCAUUGCUCCUGCAGUUUUACGGCAGGAGCUAACCGAUGCACAGACCAACCCGGAAUGGGAAGGUUGGGGAACCUCAAUGUUAUGUUUUCCUUCUUGGAGUGCAAUAUUUGGAGCGGAAUACCGCAAGAAGUCAUGGGGGUAAAGUAGACCUGUAGACAUAGCCAGCCGAGUAGACCUCUCCCCGAAGGAGCGGUGAUAACGGUACUAAGGGAGUGUUUGAUGAGCGGCUGGGACCAUGCGUAUCUGACUGUCUUGCCAAAGGAGUACCACAUCAGAUGGGAAGCAACCGGGAAUGCAAAUGGCGGAGUAAGAACUGGAUGGGGCUGCCCUUUUCGGGAGCCGCAGCCGCCAUGUGGCCAAUACAUGCUAAGGUUUUCAUUCCUCGUUUAGCACGACCUAAGGUAAUUCAGUUUCGUUUAUGUUGCUGGGCUUUGGAGGCAAACAGAGCACGAAGGGGCAAGUACCAUGUCCCCAGGGAGCAGCAGUUUUGCCACUGUUGUGGUACUAAUAGCCAAAUCGAGGAUGACAAGUCGGGUGUCGGCUUCCUUGAAGCCGGAAAAAGGGCGGGGGCCCCCUGCAUCCGUACAUGCCGGUAGCUAGCGCGGCACGUGUGACAAGUGAUGGGUAGUGUCAACGCGGUGGGAGAUGUGCUUUGUUGCAGCAGUGCUGAUGGUGUGGGAGCUAAGCUUGCACCAGCGGAAUCGUCAGCACCGCCUGCAGGCGCCAAGUGAAUUGCAUCCAUCCCGUGUGCAUGCCGCAUGGACAGUGUGGCAGACCGCAAGUCGGAAUGCCCGUGCGGGCAAAUUGGUAACGCAAGCUGGGUGUUCAAAUUAUCAAACGCUGUCAUCUCAGAAUUCAAUUAUGAGAUACACGGCACCUUUUUGGGCGGGGCCCCAGCGCGAAGCGCCCAGGGGGCCCCCGACCUGUAGGAUUGCCCAUGUCCGUGUGUGCGUGUGGCCUGUGGCCGUGUGGCCGUGUGUGUUUAACGGACCAAACAUAAUAUGCCCGGCUGAAACUCGUUAAUGGUACUAUAUAGCAUUCUCUAUCACAAGGUAUCGCGCCUGUAGCCAACAAAAAUCGUAUGAGCACAAACAACUUUAGCCCGAGAGGCGUUGAUGUGACUUUGAGCUCGGUCAAUUGAGGCAGCCAAAGUUGUUUGCGCUCAUACAACUGUCGUUGGCUACAGGAGAGAUGUAGCAAGCUACAUUUACCUUAGAAUAUCUUUAAGCUAUUAAAGCUUAAUCACAGUAACGGUACGGUCCCGUAUUUACGAACCAUACUCGUUAACUGUACGAACUCACUUUCUGGUACGCUAUCACAACCUAGCGUACGGCACCAAGACUCCAGGAAUGGAGAUGGCGGCAGGUGGGCCGCAUUUAAGCCACCCAGGUGAAGUGCUUCGGCCAGACACUUAACGUAUCACUAUACUAGUGUUCAGGGUUCAAGACCUUGCUGUCACCGUUCUCGACGUAUGUCUUCGAAUCCCGACUUCCCUUGUCUCUUCUCACGCCUAACGCUGGGUCGCCAAUCGUGGACGAGACCCUCUACUUCCGCUAAAACAGCUAAGGUAAGAGACGGCUGUUACAUUUUGGUAUCGACGAUCAUUUGUUCGGUCCUCGCCUCACAUUGCGCCGCAGCAGUUACUCGCCCAUUGUCUGAGUCUUAGACUCGACUUUCUGGAAAUGGUUCCUAAGCCUAUAGCUAAGACUAAGGCUGUUUCUUUGAGCGAUGCUAAGCACGUUCCUAUUCCGCGACCGAAGUCUAAGACUACGGCGCAAAUUCCUGCCGAUGNNNNNNNNNNNNNNNNNNNNNNNNNNNNNNNNNNNNNNNNNNNNNNNNNNUGCAUGCGAACGACACGCCAUGAAAGCAACUGAAACAGUGCCCGAAUAUACUCAACGUUUUCACGAUAUAAUUCGUGAAGCGAAAGAUAUGAACCCUAGCGAUCAAAUCGGCUGGUACGUUAAGGGGUUACUACCACCUUUGCGCAGCCGAUGUGCGACAAGCGAAGAGGGCAAAGAUUGGGACAGCUUAGAUAAGCUAAUCCUUUACGCUGUUGGGCAAGAAGUUCGAUGGCAGUCGGGCAAAGACAAGCCUACCGUCCAUGCAGUUAGCGCUGACCUUAAUGCGAUCACUGCUAAAAAGCCCUUCAAUAAAUUUAAGCGUUCGUCCUCUGAUCGCAAUUCGCAGGGUUGGCAACCCGCCAAUCGGCCCAAGAAGGCGCGUCUGGAGCAAGAACAGCUGGCGGCACACACUUGCCGCAAAUGCCGUCGCGUGAAGCCCGCCCACCAGAGCUGGGCGGAGCACAAGCCCGACUGCAUUCGACACCUCAAGGCUAACGCCGAGAAGACGCUGUCCCUUGCCGCGAAGAUGGAGAAUGCCAUGGCUGAUUAGCGGGUCGGCAAGCGUGUUGUUGGGGGCUGUGAGCAACCGGAAUGUCCUAAGGACUCGGCUAGCUUGCAAAUCAGAGAGUCCUUGUUGCCCGUUUGUGAUCCGCUUAGCUGUGAUCACAUGUUCCUCCCGGACGAGUUUCGUAACGUGGAGAACAUGUUGGGACGGCAGUUCACCUUUGACGCUGCUUGUAACAACUCUGGCGACAAUAGUCUUUGUGCACGCUUUGCCUCCCCUUCAAAUUCGUUCUUGACCUCCGAUGUCUCUGGCGAGUUUGUCUGGGCAAAUCCCNNNNNNNNNNNNNNNNNNNNNNNNNNNNNNNNNNNNNNNNNNNNNNNNNNAGUUACUCGCCCAUUGUCUGAGUCUUAGACUCGACUUUCUGGAAAUGGUUCCUAAGCCUAUAGCUAAGACUAAGGCUGUUUCUUUGAGCGAUGCUAAGCACGUUCCUAUUCCGCGACCGAAGUCUAAGACUACGGCGCAAAUUCCUGCCGAUGCUACAACCGCUUCGGACCCACUUCGCGUUGCGAAAAUUAAAAAGCGCAAAUUAAGGAAACAAUCCUUCGCUUCGCUUCGUAAAUACCUUUCCUCUGUCCCUGUUGAUAAUGACAUUCAGGACACGAUGACGCCAACUGAUAACGUGGCGACUGCCCUCGACACUACUGGCAAUGAUGCGGUUGACGCGACGACGGAAGUUCCCAAAGCCAAAGCGCCUGGCACUUUGCCAGCGCAUUUGGUUGAAACUUUACGACAGUCAGUGCCGAACCGCGUCGGCGCCUUGGAGCGUUCCCUGGAAGGAACGCACCAAGAGAUGGCAGAACUGCGUGACGACAUUAUAUCGUUACGAAAUUCUUCACAGCGUGUGGAGACGCAACUCCAGGAGUUACUCUCCAAGCUGUCAACGCCCUCAAGCCCACCACCUCCCAAUCCACGGUCCGUGGCCAUUUGCAAGAUUAUCAAGCAAGUGGCUGCGUCUUCCUUGGCUGGCAUUUUGUCCAAAGAGAGUCUUCAGGUUACCGCUUUCCAGGCGGCCCUGGACUCCCUGACGAUAGAGCCGGAGAUCACCUUGGAGGAGGUCCGGAAACUUUGGGACACCGGUGCGGUGGAGAGCGGCCCUGGCGGUAGCGCUACGGACUCCGACUCCGCGCGGCCUGCGCUACAGCCCACGGGCAAAACGCCGCGUACCGAGGUGAGUACGCAGAAACGCGUUCCGCUUCCCCCAAAUUUUCGGGAAAANNNNNNNNNNNNNNNNNNNNNNNNNNNNNNNNNNNNNNNNNNNNNNNNNNNNNNNNNNNNNNNNNNNNNNNNNNNNNNNNNNNNNNNNNNNNNNNNNNNNNNNNNNNNNNNNNNNNNNNNNNNNNNNNNNNNNNNNNNNNNNNNNNNNNNNNNNNNNNNNNNNNNNNNNNNNNNNNNNNNNNNNNNNNNNNNNNNNNNNNNNNNNNNNNNNNNNNNNNNNNNNNNNNNNNNNNNNNNNNNNNNNNNNNNNNNNNNNNNNNNNNNNNNNNNNNNNNNNNNNNNNNNNNNNNNNNNNNNNNNNAUUCCGGUGCUGACUGCAAGGGCACGGCUGAUGGAUUCAUCUCCUCCGAGGCAGCUCGCAAAAUGGGGCUCGCUAUUCGCCCGUGUUCAACUUCUUCGGUUCGCGUCGCGAACGGCUCCUCCGAGCUCAUUGAGGGCUUGAUACACGCCAAGUUGCGGAUAGCAUCCUUUCAUGACACAGUCAAACUGCUCGUGCUAAAGCAAGCUAACGCCGGAGUCGAACUUAUACUUGGCGCGGAUUGGCUUGUGCGCCGCAAAGCGCGGAUGUGCUUCCAAACGCGGACGCUUACGCUCCACAAGUCGCCCACAGACAGUUGGACGCUCAAGCCUUCCUUUUGGUCUUCGGACAAUAAUGCUGAAGAUCACCUUGAUGGUAUCACUAUCAUGAACUACGUCACCGCGACACUCUAUGCGGCGACGACAGUUGAAACGAUGUCGGCUAAAGCAGCGGCACGUAAAAUAACAAAAGGAGCACGAAGCUAUCUUUUGUUAGUACAAUCUGAGCUGGAACAGGAAACAAAGGCCAAAGGCACACACACAAAUAUGGCCGAACUUAUUCCUGACAAUACUUUAAAGGGUUUGCUUGACGAAUACAAAGAUGUAUUUGAAGAGCUUAACGGUCUUCCGCCUGAUCGCGACAUUGGUCACACAAUUCCGCUCAUCGACGGAGCCGUACCGCCAGCAAAACGAUCGUACCGGUUGACUCAAUUAGAGCAACAAGAGAUGCGUAAACAAGUUACAGAGCUUUUGCAGAAAGGUUACAUUGAACCUUCUGCGCCGCCUUAUGGCGCACCCGUCAUCUUUGUGGAAAAAGCUAACGGGCAAGGCCUGCGUAUGGUUCUUGAUUAUCGAGCUCUGAAUAACUUACGAUCAAGAGACGGUAUCCAAUGCNNNNNNNNNNNNNNNNNNNNNNNNNNNNNNNNNNNNNNNNNNNNNNNNNNNNNNNNNNNNNNNNNNNNNNNNNNNNNNNNNNNNNNNNNNNNNNNNNNNNNNNNNNNNNNNNNNNNNNNNNNNNNNNNNNNNNNNNNNNNNNNNNNNNNNNNNNNNNNNNNNNNNNNNNNNNNNNNNNNNNNNNNNNNNNNNNNNNNNNNNNNNNNNNNNNNNNNNNNNNNNNNNNNNNNNNNNNNNNNNNNNNNNNNNNNNNNNNNNNNNNNNNNNNNNNNNNNNNNNNNNNNNNNNNNNNNNNNNNNNNNNNNNNNNNNNNNNNNNNNNNNNNNNNNNNNNNNNNNNNNNNNNNNNNNNNNNNNNNNNNNNNNNNNNNNNNNNNNNNNNNNNNNNNNNNNNNNNNNNNNNNNNNNNNNNNNNNNNNNNNNNNNNNNNNNNNNNNNNNNNNNNNNNNNNNNNNNNNNNNNNNNNNNNNNNNNNNNNNNNNNNNNNNNNNNNNNNNNNNNNNNNNNNNNNNNNNNNNNNNNNNNNNNNNNNNNNNNNNNNNNNNNNNNNNNNNNNNNNNNNNNNNNNNNNNNNNNNNNNNNNNNNNNNNNNNNNNNNNNNUGAUGUGAAAAUCCGAGGUGGAACCGGCAAAACACGUCGAGAAUAUCUGGUUAAAUGGGAAGGCUAUGACUCCAGUCAUAACACCUAUGAACCGGAAGAUCCCUGCGUCAAUCCGUUCCCUUGGCCGAAGCUAUUGACGACUAUGAACGACGGUUGGCGGCAAAGUCCGGGCAACCUACACCAAAAAGGAAAGUGGUCCUGACCACCCCUCCUUCGGUAGCACCCCGGAACAGCACCCCAGAACAACCGAAACGGAAAGCACCUGCUCGCAAGAAAAGGUGACGCUCCCGGGACGGUUCGCUUCUGAGGGGGAGGGAUGUAGCAAGCUACAUUUACCUUAGAAUAUCUUUAAGCUAUUAAAGCUUAAUCACAGUAACGGUACGGUCCCGUAUUUACGAACCAUACUCGUUAACUGUACGAACUCACUUUCUGGUACGCUAUCACAACCUAGCGUACGGCACCAAGACUCCAGGAAUGGAGAUGGCGGCAGGUGGGCCGCAUUUAAGCCACCCAGGUGAAGUGCUUCGGCCAGACACUUAACGUAUCACUAUACUAGUGUUCAGGGUUCAAGACCUUGCUGUCACCGUUCUCGACGUAUGUCUUCGAAUCCCGACUUCCCUUGUCUCUUCUCACGCCUAACGCUGGGUCGCCAAUCGUGGACGAGACCCUCUACUUCCGCUAAAACAGCUAAGGUAAGAGACGGCUGUUACAAGAGACCUUGCAAUAGAGAAUGCUAUAUAGUACCAUUAACGAAUUUCAGCCAGGCGACAUAUUAUGUUUGGUCCGUUAAACACACACGGCCACACGGCCACAGGCCACACGCACACACGGACAUGGGCAAUCCUACAGGUCGGGGGCCCCCUGGGCGCUUCACGCUGGGGCCCCGCCCAAAAAACACGUGUUAUUGGAAUGCACAGCCUAUAGUGAUAUUCGUGCUGAAGAGGGAUUCAAUCACCAACAGGGCCAUGAAAUGGGAAUCAGUACGUCUGGUAAGAAUGUUGGAACGUAUGUGGGCUCAGCGCAACUCAGUUAUCCCCUUUGGGCGCUAGUCUGGGCUGAUGUGCGGUGUUUCCUGUUCUCCGUGGCUUUUAGGCAUAUACAUAUUGCCCUUGGGCCUUCGGCUCCUAUGGGUAAUUUUACAGGUAUGGGGUACACACACCCCCAACCAUGUAACACACACACACACACAUAUGCGUUUGCAGCACUCCUACCUUCUAGGGGAUAUCCGCUGUCAACUAGGGGACUCCUUUGCCCUCUACUAUUCCUGGGGCAGUAGAGGGAAGGAGCUCAUGCGGUUGUGCUGCGGUGCUUGGGCGGCACUACGUGCCUGUCGAUAUUAGCACCUUGUUUUGGGGCGAAGCGCCAUUCGGGGGGCCGAGCCCCCCGGGUUCACUGCAGUCAGUUGUCAGUCAGUGGCUUACAUAUCUCGCCCCGCAAAAAAUAGCGUUUGAAUGCUAUAUCCAUUCUAUAUCGAAAUGCCAAAGGAGACAUUCCAGAUAAAUCGGAGCGCGAAGAUAGCUUUCCAUGGCUCCGAGUUUGACAUAAAGUUACAUAUGUCGCUCCGCAAAAGAUUGAAUGUAGAAGCUAUAUGCAUACUACAUCCACCUGCCAAAGGAGAAAUUCCAGAUAAAUCGGAACGCGACAAAGAUAGCUUUCGCACCGGGGCCGAGCCCCUUUUCGGCUUUGAAAAGCCGCCCCCCUAGUCUAUUUUAUUCAGGAAGAUAGUGCCAAUUUUUUAUUUAGAAAUACAGGAUCCCGAUGGAUAACGGACGCCUGGACGAUCCAGGGCCAGCAACCCGCAAGAGCCAGCAACUAAGUGGCCUUCGUGGAACGUUGCCAGAGAGCUGGGUAAGUCCAAAAUGAUUUGGACGGAAUACUUAACGGCCCUAUCGCGUUGUAAAAUAUGCAAUUUGCAGGAGCCAGCUGGGGAAUCGGAGGGAACAUGGCAAGAGCCAAGGCCAAGUGCUCAAGUGCCAAGACGGCUUCGGUAAAGUAAGAAAAUGUCAUGUAACAUCCAAUAUUUGCAUAAACCUUAUGUAAAAAUUUAGCACGAACAAAGUUAUGUGCAAAUUGCACGAAGAAGAGCACAUGUAGCGUUUUGUAAUCGGGUACGGCAGCGUGGCGAAUUAGAAAGAUAGUUAGGAAGCUAAUGCUCGUGUUUGUAAUUUUAGAGUCUUACUAUAUACGUAAUAUUCAUGCAUACUUUCUGCAUUCUGUGCCGUGGAUACGCGUCUGCUCACAGCUGUCCCAUGGACCUGUAACUCUUUCCGCACCUGUAAACUUCUGACAUCGUUGUGGCCAGCUACUUGCCACAGAUACCAGUAAAAACAAUAUUGCUAAAAACAGGCAUUCGGUUACUAGGUGCACCGCUGGUACUGAAAGGCGUCCAUGGCUGCGACCGACAUGCAUAUCCCGGGGAUGCAAACAACAAAGCCAAAUUGGUGGUGCAAAAUGUCAGAUUAUGGCCAGGCAAGCUAACGUCAUUCUGGUGGUUUAUUUUUCGCUGGAAACAUUCGUUCUUUUCCUUGUCGUCCUCCGACAGGCCCUUCGCACCGUUGUCAGCACGUCACCCUCAGCAUUAUUAUGGUCACUGCUGAUGGCCUUCGUUCUAUGUGGUGUCGGUGUCUGGGGUGUCAUGAAGGCAGCGCAAGGCGGUGCGGAGCACGCGAAGGUUGGCUUAACAUCGCUGCGUUCGACGUUAGUUAGCGCCUGCUUUCAAUACCAAAUAAACAAACCAGGAUAUGUGUUCUUCAUAUCUGAAGCCUAAAUCUUAAUUGUCUAGGAUUGGAUUCGCAUGACCGUUUUGCAUCGCAGGGGCUGCGAGUCACGGCCGCGACGCACGCACGUUCGCACCCAGAAACCGUACCGCAGCGUUCCUGACUGUCAAACUGCUGGCUGAUGCUGACGACACCUCCCCCUUCCCCCAAGCCCUCCCCUUUUCCCCAAUCUGUCGCUUCUUUGCAUGGGGUACCGCCACUUGACGCAUUUCAGCGAAGGGCCUAGGGCAAUCUCCUGCCUAAUCUCCCUCCCAACCCUCCCCUCCUCUUUCACAUCUCCCCUAUGUAGGCCCGAGCCGAGUCCUUAGCCAACGAGGCGGCGAUGGAGUACCGGCAGCUUCUGUCGGCGGCUUUCUCGCUAACACAAGUGCUUGCAACGCUUGUCGGGCAUGACCCGCAGUACGGCGCUGCGGGCAACUUGUUCGACGCCACGGCGCCGGCACUGGCGUCUUCGGUGAGAUCACCAGGGGCACUGAGUAGCUGUUGUUGCCACCGUCCGCGCUCUCACGUUUUGAGACAAUCCAAACCAACUUGCAGCUCCAACAUCCCACGGGGCCAAGCUCAGCAUCCCAGGGUUGCUCUUCACAAGUCUCCUCGUUCCCCACAGGCGCCUGGAGCCUUCAUCCAGACCAUGGAACUGGCGCCAUCUGCCGUAAUUCGCAAGAUCUAUCCGUCAUCUCCGGCUGCUGGCAAUACGAAUAGCUCCUUUCUUACCGGACACGACCUGCUGGGGGGUAAGUGCAGCGGGCCAGUGAGUAUGUGAUGGGUGGCGGUGCAUGGGUAAGGAGGGAAGGGAAAGUCAGUCGGUUCGCGAGGUAGCUGAUCUGGGUUUUGCGGGUUUGGGUUAAUUUCGGCGGUUGCGGCCUGGAAAAUCCAGCAUGAACCCAGCAUGAAUAUGCUGUCGGGUAUGUAAGGUGGUAAUGAGAAUAUCUGGGACCCCCCGGGGAGCUCCCGCUGUGGAAAUAUGCAUUAUACCUAACAGCUAAAGCUUUAUACCUAACAGCUAAAGCUUUCGAUUGAAAGCCGAGGGGAUGUUCAGGGGUUCCCCGUUCGUGUGUUCUGGGGUUAUUUGGAUCUGGGUUAUUUCGGAUAUGCCAUAAGUUUGAUCUGGGUUAUUUUGGAUUUGGGUUAUUUUGCAUCUGGGUUAUUUCGUGUCUUGGUUAAUUUGGAUCUGCUUUGCUUUGGAUCUCGGUUGCUCGGAUCUGGUCGGCUCGAUUUGAUCUGGUUCUCUGUUCGAGACGCUCCUUCAUUGGUGCUGCCAACCUAGCGUCACCUCAGCAUCGCCUGUACGACGACCCGUUUCACGUCUUACGUGGGAGGAGAGGUUUGACUCCAUCACGCUGCGAAGAAGAACUAAUCCCUCGGCAUUAUUCUCUCGAGCUCCUGUUGAGGGCCUUAUGGUCUCCAUCUGUCUAUCUGUUGAGCAGUGGCUUGUAGGGCACAGGAUACAUGCCUUAUGGACGAACGUGCCGAGCAGAAAGCGUUGAGGAAGGGGUUUCAAAAUGCAACAUGCAGUUGCGUGGGGCUUAGGGCACAUGCCAGUGUUUUCGGGAACAACAGAAAUACAUACAGAGAUGGCUGGCAGGUGGCUAUUGCAGGUGGCUGGCAGAAGUUAAGGCCUGACUUCUGCUCCCGGAGAUUCCGGGGUCAAAUCUGCCUGCCGACCUCUCGGUGUAUGAGGGGUGUUGAAAUAGGAGGUGGGCCCCCAUCUCGUGGACGGUGUAGGACGUGAUUUUAUCGACUUGCGAGCUGACCAGGAACUAAGUUCUGGCGCCGUUGAUCCGCUAGAUUUGGUUGCAUGCUGGUGGUGAGUUGCCGAACCCAACGAAUACAUUCUGAAGUGGGAUGGGGUGAACGGAUUAGGGUGCCCCUCUAGCAGGGGAGAGCAGGGAACUGCCUCGGGAAAGGGGGCCGCUGGUGAAGCUAUACCACCCUGUAACAACAUCAUUAUACAGAGAUGGGGAAGCAUGCGCGCUCAUGGCAGCGGCUCAUAUAGUAAUACACAAAACGCCGCGUUUACCUAUCAAUCUGUUGUGCAUGCCAUGAUCACCAGUGUUAUCUUAUUGCCCCAUUGCUGUUGCAUAAUAACCUUUUAAAUAUAAAGGCUGCUGCAACCCAGCGGAGCCCCAGUGUACACCAUCCAUUGUACGACAUGCCGUACUGUACGUCUGCAGAUCCUGCAGUCGCCGAUGAUGUCCUGGAGGCAAUAUCAAAUCCGGAUAUUUCCCUCAAGGGCCCUUUGCCUCAACUGCAUGGCGUCACAAGAAACGGCGGCACCAGCAACAGUAGCAGUAGCAGUAGCAGCAGCAGCAGCAGCAGUAGCAACAGCGAUGUCGGAACCUUGUUGGCAGUUCGUAAGUCCAUUCACGUACCGGUGGUGGACCCAGGAGACACUUUCGGUCGCCCAGAUGAACCGAAUGGGGUGUGCGGGGCACUGUGCGAAUAUAACGCCACCACUGGAACCAAAUUCUGGGGACUGGUGGGUACGGGGUGGGGAUGUGGGAGGUUAUGGUGUUCGUGGCUAUGGUGUUAGUGAGAGUGGUUUGGGGAAUUCCAUUCAAAUGGGUGUACCUUAGUAGUUAUGGCGGCACGUAAGUAAGUACAGAUGUAUGUAUGUACGUGCGGCAUAAGUAUAGGGGUAUGUAUGUAUGUGUGUGUACGUGCGUGUGCUUGCGUUUGAAAUUGGGGACCAGUUCUAUGUGCAUAUGUAUGUAGGUAUGUACGUAUGCACUUCCCCACGUACACACACCGCUUAGACAUCGUCCUAACCGUCUGCUGGCCCCUGCCUGCUGGCUGCUGCCCUCACCCGCCUUGCCAAGGCCAUCGUGCUCGUCCAACUUGACGCGCUGCGCGUGCCUCUGGGGGAUGCCAUGGUUUCGGGGCCGUUGAAAACAUUAGCGGCCCUGGGCUACCGGUACGCUCUGCUGGCACCUGCAUGGCGACAGUACGGCAGCAGUAAAAAUAACGACUCAUCAGUUGGGAGCUACUACACCGGCGGCAGUAGCAGCAGCAGUAGCAGCCGUGAAGGUGCUCGAGGCGGCGAUGACAAGCGGGAGGAGGGGCAGAUGCUGCUGAUUGAUGCUAGCAGGAACCACCCCAUGGCAGAUUGCCGGGGCAGCAGUAGCAGCAGCAGUAGCAGCAGCAGCAGUAGCAGGAGGCGGCAUGUGGUGGAGAUGGCGGUAGAUCUGGGGCCGGGCAUGCAGGUAGGAGAGAGGUAGGAGAGAGGUAGGAGAGAGGUCAGAGAAAGAAAUCAUAAAACGCAGACAGCAAAAACGGUCACCUGACGAACAGGGAGGGUGUGGGGGUGGGGGCGGAUGGGGGCCCUUGUUGAACCACAUUAGGGUUCUGUGAGGUUGCGCAGAUUCUGGGCCACAUGGCCGUGGCGUUGCUGAUUUUUACCUUUAUUUUUUUCGUUGGUUUUGUUGUUUGUUCUGUCACACGUGCCACCGCAACCCCUUUAAAAUCUUGCGCCCCUGUGACUCGUUCGCGUGUAUGUCAUCAACACGCCAUAUCAUCAUCGCGGCCGGCAGUGGACAUUGCUCGUGAGCCCGGCGGGCGGCAGCAGCUGGAUGCCGUCAUGGUACGGCGGAGUGGUGGCGGCAGUGGUCGUCACGUCCUUGCUGGCGUCCGUGUUGCUUUUCUGGCUGCUGAUAUCCCGGUGGGACAAAAAGGUGGUAUUCGUGUCGGUGGGGUUGAUUACAACAAAUCGCGAAGCACGGCGAGUUACGUUUCAGCGCGGCGAGUUACGUUGAGUUUUCACUUCCAGCAGCAACAUGCACCGAAGAUGGUGAUGUAAUUACUUGUGACCAUACUCAUGAAAGUCCAAGAAAAGAGUUCAAGAAGUGGAAGACGGUUGGAGGUAAUCUUACGUGCCACACCACUACUCACUGCUUAGCAUGUCCAGUACUUUCCAUUACAUGCCUUUUGCGUCUCUGCUCGUCUCAGUCAGGACGGCAUACGUCCUCACCCCCUUAACCGCAUUUUCCCUUGCAAUGAUUAUUUAAUAUUAUUUAAAAUGAAUUCCUAUAAGUUAUGAAAAAAGUUUUUAUUUAUUAAAUAUUAUUUUUUUUGUUUGUAUCCCAGGCGUCGGCACCAGAUGCUGCUGCGCUCGCUGCUGCCCUCGCAUCUGAUUCGAGACCUGCAUGCCGAGAACAAUCAGGAGCCCCUGGAGCCGAGGCCCUCCCUGGAUGCUGGUGAGUGAGGCUGGGAGGCGGGUUGGGCGGCGGGUUGGGAGCGACACUUUCUUUCGUGUGGGUGUUUAGGAGGCGACAUCGCCUGCCUGCGUGCAUUCCGCCGGGUGGCGCCACCCCCGUCCUGUUCCACCGCCUCCAUCCCCUGUUCCGCACAUCCAUUCAUGCAGUCAGUCAGUCAGUCAGUCAUUUAAUUAUAUCCAUUAGAUCUAUCUAGACCUGGCCCUCAGAACCCUAAUGGCCCCUUCCCCGUCCGCCCCAAUCACCCCGUCCUCCUCAAUUCAUAACCAACCUACAUAACACUAUCGAACCAGAACAAGACAAAUCGACCUCUCCUGAGAGUGACUCGGUUACCUCGCUGUCAUCAUCCCUCCCUUACCUCCAUCCCUCCCUCUUCCCCCCGGCCAUUACUGCCACGACGCCCUCCCUCCCCUCGCAACACCACCGGGUUAGUUAUGCCCUUGUUCUUUACUUCGGGCGCAUCAGUCUUUCCUUGGCGCAUCACCUUCACUCGUUCACGUGGUUCAUCUUCCCCGCGCACCACCACGGGCUCCGAAUCCGUCCAACUGAUCUGCGCCUUGCCUUGCGUCUCGCCAUAUCAUGUCAUGUCGUGUAAACAUACAUAUGCAUGUAUCAACGUUGUAUACCAUCUUCAUAUUGACAUGUACAUAUAUACAUAUAUAUGUGUGAUAUGUAUUUCCAACAAUUAAUUACUUGCCUCAGAGAGCCCCGCGGAGGUGCUGAUGGGGCUGCUGGCUUCCCUGCUCGCCGGCCUCCCCCCCGACCUGCGAGACGUGGUUCUGCUGAGGACGGUUCUGAGGCGCCGCCUGGACGUGUACCGACCGCUCAACUUGAGGGCCAAGCUGAGGAGCGCAAACCUGGACGUAGGUUGUUGGUUUCUGAUAAAGGAAUGUAUGUAUAUAUAUGGGGGGCUGAAGGAACUGUGGAGCUCCUCCGGGUGUUGCAACGUGCCAUCAUCUCCAUCGCGUUUUGCAGCGCGGGGCCUUGAGGCAGGUUCCUCGUCAUCAAUUGACGUGUACCUUCGGAACUUGCCUCAAGGCCUCGCUCGGCAGAACGCGGUGAAGAGGACUGCUGUACGUACGGCGGGAUUCUUGGGGGACAUACACAGGGGGGGGAAAGGAGGGGGACAUACACAGGGGGGCGAGAUGAUGUACACAACCCCCCCCCUGUGUUACAUUGCGACUUCAGGAAAGGAAACAGAUUGGCGAUGAUGGCAGACCCCGUGAUGGUAACACAAGUGUACAAGUGACCACGCGGCCAUCAUCUGCGCGAUCUUACAUAUAUACAUACAUAUAUACGCAUAGUUAUAUAUAUGCACAUAUAAAUAUGCAGUUUUAGGAGAAAAAGCUCAUUUUUCAAGGAACACCUUCCCUGUUGGCCGACCAUGUUUUUCUUUCCCUUACUAUUUCUUCACCCCUGUGACAACAGAAUGACGUCGCCAGUGCUCUGCUGCGGCAGCUGGGUACCUCUCCUGCAGAGCCCCGGCUCAGCAACAGCAGCAGCUGCAGCGGCAGCUGUGGCGGUGGAACCGGCACCGCAGACGGCGGUACCGCCGGGGGUGCCGGCGGUCAUCAUGGCCAUCAUGGUCAUCAUCAUGGCAAGACCAAGACCAUGAUGGCGAUAACAACAGUCCCACUGGGCCGACCCAGACUCGGAUCAUCGGCUUCUGGGAAACCGCAGCAACAGAUGAUGAUGAUGGCGGCGACGGCGACGGCGACGGCGGAGGAGUAUUGCCGUAGCCUUAACGAUGCGAUGGCGUACAUUCUUUCCGGUAGCGAGGAGGUGGUCGGGGAGGAAGAGCUGGCGGAGGCGGAGGCGGGCGCGUGCGGGGUCACUAUUGAGGAGCUGGAUCUGCUUGGCAGUGGUUCCAACUACUACGGGGUAAUUCCAACCUCGGGCUCCAGGAAGCAGCAGCUGCACCCGCCUCCGCCACUAUCGCCAACGGCCAUUCCUUGCAGCAGCAGGAGCAAAAGCAGCACUCAUCAAUUUCAGGAGGACUGUACGACUGGAGGUCUGCGGCGGAGGUCGAGCUUUCUCCUUCUCUUAAGGCCCCGCGCGCCGGUUGCGGCGGCGGCGGCGGCGGCGGCGGCGGCAGACGCAUCCAGGACGGAGCCCCGCCGCCGACGCUCCCGCCGCCGCUUCAGCCUUUUUUCAGCGGACGAAGUUGAAAGAAACCAGAUGGCAGCAGCAGCGGCCCGUGCCGCCAGGCACCGCAGCGAAGGCGGCUGUAGCAGCAGCGGCGCCGUUGCGGUUCUGGCGACAGGUGCUACUGCUGCUGCUGCUGCUGCUGCGGUGUCGGCGCCGCCGACACCACCAUUCAACGGACCGGCCGUACGGUCCCGAGCAUCCAUCACCGCCGACAACGUCUUUCUGCUAUCUUCAGCUACCGACGAAAUCACCGAACAACAACAACAACAUCAUCAACAUCAACACGAACAUCAUCAACAUCAACAUCAACAACAACUACUAGUAGUAGAACAGCGGCAGGAUGAGCAGCAGCCGGAUGAGGAGCACCCACUGCAUCAUGAGGGGCCAGCGGGGCCCCCCGCGGGCCGUGACGACGCGCCCGUCCUGCCUGCCGGUGCGCACAGCAAGGUCCUGCGAACCCCGAACUUGGCCUGCUCCUUACUGCGCAGCGUCACAACAACGUUGCGAACCCGGCGACGGAGCAGCGGCGGCCCCGAUGUCGCGACAGAUGCUUCCUUUCUUCCUGCCUUAGAUCCGGAGGUUCAUGGCAACAAACACCGUUAUGGCGACCCGUACUCCAAUCCUGUUGGCCAUGACCUUUCGAAGGGCAUCGGCAAGAACGAAGGCCGCGUUGUCGAAGCGGCGGUGAUUACAUCCGCCGCCGCCGCCACCGCCGCCGCAGCAGCUGCAGCAACCGCUGGUAAAGACGACUCCUUGUCCGGGAUCGGCAACACCAGCUUGCUGAUCAACAACAGCAAAUGCAAAGUUAUGGUGGCUGUAGCGAACGGCGGAGGGCGGUACAGCGGCGGCGGCGGCGGCAGCCGCCACAGCCGCCGUACGUGCAGUGGAACUGGCAGCGCCAGGAGGGCAGCGGCGCCGCCACCGCCGCCGCCGGCCUUGCUAGAGGAAGUGGAGCGUCUGUUGUGCAGUUGUGACAGUUGGCAGUUUGACACUUUCAACCUACAAGAAGUCAGCGGAGGCCACGCCCUAUCCGUCCUAGGGUUUUACCUGCUACAGCGAGAGGGUCUGUUGGAGCGAUUUCGCGCGGAGCCGCUCCGUAUGGCCCGGCUGCUCCGGACUUUGGAGGCGGGCUACCCAGCCACCAACCCCUACCACAACUCGGCUCAUGCCGCGGAUGUGCUGCACACUCUGCAUGUGCUGCUGCACGGAGCUCGACUAACAGAGCACUACCUGGACGAGCUGGGGCUGAUGGCGGCGUACUUUGCGGCGGUGAGAGCGGGAGAGCUGAGCUUUUUAGGUUGAGGGAAGGGGAGGGGAGGGAAAGGGGGGUGGGAAAGGGGGUUGGGGGAAGNNNNNNNNNNNNNNNNNNNNNNNNNNNNNNNNNNNNNNNNNNNNNNNNNNAGGUAGGAAAGGGAGUAGGGGGAAGACGGACCACGAGCGAGUGAAGCUGAUGAAGGGGUGGGGAGGUAGUUGUUUGUGUUGUGUGAGUGAGUGAGCAGGGUCGGUCCAUGCGCCCCCCCCCAUGGCGGUCGUCUAGGUGGUCGGGUGUGGUACGGCGGCGGCGGCGGCGGCGGUGAGUGAGAGUUGUGCGAGUGAGUGUGAGUGGGCGGCGCAAUCACCCCUCCCCACCCCUCCCCCUCCCCCUCCCUUUACAUCAUCCCGAGGUCGCCUACUGGUCCGUUCUGCUCUGUCCUUGGCAGCAGCUUCACUGGUUCGUGGUUCGUCUUUCCCCUCCUCCCCCUCCUCCCUGUUACCUUUGCCGCUCUCUCCCCCCCUAUGUGUCCCUUCUCUCAGCCUUCUUAUCAGGCACUCUUCCUUUGUCUUUCGGCAUCACCUUUUUCUAUCCCUCAGCUCCCCACGUUUCCUAAUCCUUCUCCACCAGCAUCCCGCCGCUCUCCUUUUGCUUUUGUAGCAGCCUGUUUGGUGGUCCUAACUGUCUCCUUGGUAACUUCCCCAACCCGCUCUUACUCCCCCUGGCCCCCAUUUCAGCACCGCGCUCUCACCAAACUCGCUAUUGCUCAGUCCGUCCCUAUCUCUCUUCAUCUAAUACACCCUUUCGCACCUCACCCUUGUGCGCGCUUCCGCCCCACCCCACCCUUGUGCUUGGCAGCUAGUUUUAUGUUUCGCAACCUGGCAAUGGCGUCGUUGACCCUCGCCAACACCUCCCUAUUCACGUCAUCAUGGGUCGGUAAAUAUAUUCCUGAUAUGCAGUAUUCGCCUUCGCCAGUUGCAUCUACACCGUCUAUCGUCUGUGCUUCGUCGUACACCCCCCCCCUCCCCCUCCUUCCUUCGUCCUUCUCCUCCCGCCCCGCUCAAUCCCUUGCCUAAACUUUCCUGUUACCUCCCUCCUCCUUCCUCGCCAACGCCCCCAACCGCCAACCGCCAACUGCCAACUGCCACUCCCUUCAUCAGAUCGUUCACGACUACGGCCACCCCGGCCUCACCAACGACUUUCUGGUGGCCACCUCCCACCCCCUGGCACUGAGGUACAACGACCGAGCCCCCCUGGAGAGCCACCACGCGGCCGCGGCCUUCACUCUGCUAGCCGACCGACCUGACCUGGACGUCACUGCGGGCCUUAUCGCCGCGGAGAGGGCGGCAUUCCGGAAGCAGGUCCUAGAGCUCGUCCUGGCCACCGACAUGAAGCAACACUUUGCCGUACUCAACCAGUUUAAUACGGUACAUAGACUGGCUGGCAAGGUGGAUAGCGGCUCGGGCUCGGGGGGGGUUGGGGGGAGCGCAACGUUCAAUGGCAAGGGGGACAACGGGAAUGCAGCAGCUGCAGCUGGAUCAGCGGUUAAGCACCCGCGUAUCCACCACUGUGGUGUCGUACAAAGUGCCGUAGACGGAUCACUGGUGGCGGUGGCGGUGGAGGGAGAGGCGGGGUGUGGCCCGAGUGGAGGUGAUGGGAAGGUGGAGGUGGUGGCGGCCCCGGUGCCGCUGAACGAGACGGAAAGACUUCUGACGCUACAGGUGCGUGCAGGGGUUGAGGCGAGGGGGGUUGAGAGGGAGUGAGAUGGUGGGGCAGGGGAGGUGAGAGGGAGUGAGGGGGUGGGGGCGGCGCGGGUGAGAGGGAGUGAGAGGGUGGGGGAGAGAGCGGGAGAGGAUGGAGAGGGAGAGAGGGAAGAACGGAAAGAUUGAGGUAAGGAGGGGAAGUGAGGACGGAAGGAUGGGAAGAGUUGGGGGGUUGGCGGGGCCUGUUGGUGGUGACAGAUCCGAACACCACUGUUUGACCGAUUGGGCCGCUCGGUAAGCUAGCUACCGAAACAUAUGAGGAAUGCGGGAUGUUCCACAUGUGUUUUGCCGUACACGCACCGUACAGGUCAUGUUUAAGGCUUCCGACAUCGGCCACCUGGGGGCGAGUCCAGAAAAUCACAAGAGGUGGCUUACCUGCCUUGAGGAGGAGUUCUUCCGUCAGGGCGACCAGGAGCGCCAGAGGGGCCUCCCAGUCAGUCCCCUGUUUGACCGGGCCAAGCAGGGAGUCAGCAAGAGCCAGGUGGGGGGUUGGGGGGAAAGGAGGGGGGUUGGGACGGAAAGGGGGGAAAAUGGGGAAGGGGUUGGUGGGAAAGGUGGGAAGAUUGGAACAGGGAGGAAAAAGGGAGAAAGGGAGGGAGGCGUAGGGGGGGGGUAGGGCGGGGGGGGGGGGUACAUAUGGGCGCAACAAAUAGAGGAAGUGGAUGAUAAAUGAUGGUGUCGACGACGAUGCCCAAAUAUGGACACAGCUGAGCUGGAGUGUUGCUGUGACUAUCAGUCUCACGCAAUGGCCGAGGUCGCUACUCUCCGCCCCUCGCUCCCCCCUCCCCCGCAGCAGCAUCACUCGUCUGUGGUCCGUCUUCCCCCUUCCCUCCCCCCCUCCCUCCCGUCUUCCCCCCUCCCUCCCGUCUUCCCCCCUUGUCAAUUCCACCAUCUAGUUCGACACCUUCUGCGUCAUCCUGCGUCGACUUUGCAUUUUUGUUUCUUUUUAGUCCCUGCGUCAUAUUCCGCUUUCAUUUAGGUUCUUUAGGGCUUCUUAUUCCCGGGUCCCCUAGUCAGCCAGCUUAAUAUUUCCUUUCAGCGGCACUCGCACUUUCUCAUCUCGCUUGCUGUUUACAAACGUUGCAACCUCUCUGCCUCGCAUGUGCUCUUGCCCGCCGCUUCUGCUGCCUUGCCAGGUGAGUCCGAGUAGGUUCGAGAGCUUUGUCGGUGUAUCGCGUUCGCGUUCGCCGGCUCGGCGGACUAGGAUUGCUGGGUCGGUCGGGUCGGCGCAUGUGGGGGGGGGUUGGGAUGAGCACUUGCAUGUCACCAGCUCUUUAUCACCAGCAGCUUAUCAGCCGGAUUUGCUACGAUCUCGUAAAUGCCGCCGCCAGGCCGGCGGCAAAUAUUCUUUUCCAGCUUACGUCAGCACUACUUUUUCGCCGCCUGUACACCUACCUUUACUUCCUUACGGCUUCGUUUUACUUUUCUUCCGCUCUUACUCUAGUCUUGGCGGCUAGUAGGUAGGUUUCCGCGGUCGUCUUCAUUACAUCAUCCCGAGGUCGCCGCCUUCAAGAACGCCUACUGGCCAGUUCUGCUCCUUGGCAGCAGCUUCACUCGUUCGUGGUUCGUCUUUCCCUCCCUCCCUCCCUCCCUCCCUCUCAAAGGUGGGGUUCUACGACUUCGUGGCGCUGCCGCUGGUGCGAGCCGUGGCGGAGGCCUUCCCUGGAGCGCUGCCCCUGCUGCGCUGCUUCUCUGAGAAUUACAAAUACUGGAAGGAGCUGGAGGCGGAGGCGUCAGGGGCGGCGUCAGAGGCGACGGCAGGGGCGUCAGCGGCGGCAGGGGCGGCGUCAGGGGCAUCAGCGGCGGCGGGGGCGGCGUCAGGGGCAUCAGCGGCGGCGGGGGCGGCGUCAGGGGCAUCAGCGGCGGCGGGGCCGGCGGCAGGGGCGUCAGCGGCGGCAGGAACAGCAUUGGCAUCAGCGGCGUCAGGGGCGACGUCAGGAGCAUCAGCUGGUGAUGAGGUGCCACCAACCCCAGCACCAGUACCAGCGGCACCAUCGAAGCCGGCAGCUUGGGAGUCGGAAUGCGGUGGACGUAGCUCUGAUAACAGUAACGCCACAACCCCCGCCGCUACUGCAGCUACUACCUCAGCCACAUGAGCAGUUGGUAAGUGAAACGCUGGUGAGCCACCGGGGGCCAGCCGGUGACGUCAUCGUACCCCGUAGGGCCUGGGGUCCGUCAUUCCGGAAAGGCGCGUCCGUAAUACUGGAUUAUGAACAUAAACCUACCUACCUACCUAACCACCUAUCUAACCACCUACCUAACCACCUACCUACCUACCUACCAGCUUUACGAUUGGGGCCGAGGUUGUUCGCGCCGUGCAAAGGUGGGCAUCUGCCGAUCAAGCAAGGCAUGGUGACUGGAAGCUAAGGCGGAGGAGGACGAGGAAAACGAGGCAUUUGUGCUGCCUGUUCUGCGUCAGCAUGGCCGGGUUUGGAGGUCGUGCCUGCCGGUGGUGUGUGCGUGGUGGGGCUGCUGCUGUGGUGUGCAUUACCCGGCAGUGCUGUAGGGGAUCUCAGUGGUGGCCAGCGGUAUAGCAUUAGGUAGAGACAUAUAUUAGUAGCAAAUGAUGGCGGUGGUUCUGACUGGUGCUCAUGUUGUGUUUUGCAUGCAAGCGGGCUGAAGCGUGUUGGCGAGCAGUUGCUUGUUAUGGCAGAGUGGUGGCGGCGGUGCUGGUGCUGGUGAUGGUUGCUGGUGAUGAUGGUAGGUGGUGGUGGUGAUGGUGGUGGUGGUGGUGGCGGCAUGUGUGGUGGUGAAGGACGUGACGGUCUCGACAGCAGAGGAUAUACGAAUAAAUGGUACUGGUAAUGGUAGGUGUCCGGAGCGGCUAUAGCAUAUGCAUGCACAUAUGUUUGCUUACGUAAGGUACAGUGGUAUAAAGGUACGUUUAAAGGUACUAACAUGUAGAUAUCGUGGCGUUACUAGCACGCAGCGGGCUAUCUUAAUUAAUGGUUGGCAGUUAAUCUUAAUGGUUGGCAGUUACAGUGUCCGCACAAGUGCAGAGGGCUCCGUCAAAUCCGCUCAUUUAAACUAUAGAGGCUGGCCCCGCUGAAAAGGCCUCUCCCGAGAUAUGCUGGUAUUCGCACGUGUUUCUAGUUUUGAUCUGUGUGCCGCACUUUGUGUACCAGCGACUACAUAAACACGUUCGUCAUUCACGAGGGCUGCACGAUUAGGUCGAAGCACGACAAAGUGCGAUGAGGAUGUACACUGCUGUACGCUAAUGCUUUGCUGUGCGGAUGGGCAUAACCGGUAUCAACUGCCGUACAAAUUAAUGGCGUUGUCGUACCUUUAGCGGGACAAGAGGCAUGCUUCGGUUUCAGCAGAGAUAAGUAAAUUAAAUACUUCCAGAUUCACUGUACAGGCUUAUGCGAAACCUUUUUGUCGUUUUUUAGUUGCCUCACACUUCUUAGCUACGGCGAUGGAUGCGAGCAUUUCGACAUUAAAACUACAACAGAUGGAUAGUAACUACUCCGUAGACUACGGACAUAUCUACCGCCGUCCGUGGCGGGCUCCGUUCCUAGAUACCUCCGGAUACCCCCGCUAGACACAAACUACAACUCGGUCUUCCCAUCCUAAACAGGAAGAGGGAGAUUAAUAUAUUCAUGUUUUUAUGCAUGUUUUUGAAUGGUCCUUCCGGUGCCGCUGGUAGGUAAUAUUUAUCCUGGCCCGUGUGCCAGGAUGAUGGACGAGCACCUGCCGUGAAUACCCCAGCACCACGUGCAACCCUCCCAGCCAGUCCAGUCCAGUUGUUUUUGUUAUUUCCAAUUUUCGUGCACACACUGAAGCGCACACGUGCCCAGCCCCAUGCACACGAGGGGGCAGUGCUCCACCGAUUUCUCUCACUUCCCCCAGCAAACAGCAAACAUCUCUUCAGGAGCCGCAUCCUCUUUGCUAGCAUCACUACAAAGCUGGACAAUCACUGCCUGACAUAAUAGUGUACGCGUGAGUCUUGGUUUUGCAUUUGUGUCCGCAGGUUGUGGACACAGACACAGACAGAGACACACGCGGAAAUUCAUGUGAAUGUUCGAAGCGAGGACAUAAACAGUCGACCGACCAUCGUAGAAGUAAUGCGAAGACAUGUUACCACUGGUGGAGCGGUCCUUAUUAGGAACUAGUACAAGUUCAACAGCCCGCCAGACUUGCGGACAAAGGCUGUGUGCGUUUGUACUCAUUUUGCUGAAUUGUACUACAUUCAACUAAUAGAGCUCCAGAACACUCGGCUUCAUCAUGCACAGUCAUGUUUUCUCAUUUAAAAAGUGAUGCUAGCGUGAUGUACUUAGAAGGCGUUUAGAAUUAAUCUCAUGCAUUAUGACCACUUCAGCCAAACAAUCCUUCGAUAUGUUCUGAAGGCACCUCAGUCAUUCUUUCCGAAAUGAACACGGAAUGAGAACGGAAUGGACGCCAAAUGAAGGAAUAAUUCCCGGGGAAUCGAAGGGGUGGCGGUUCCUAGGUUGUAGCAUAGAUACGGCAAAAAACAAGUCAUUCAGCAGGGCUCCCAGGGGAUGGAUUUAGGGCGUUGGCCUCGUCCUUGGCCGACAAUUUUGCCAGCGGCAGUCACUGGCGCAGUCAAGCUCGCGCAGUUACAUGGCAGCGGACAGCAACAAGGUCACCAGAUGUUAGGCCACCACGCGUGCAGGGUGAUGAGGGAUUAUCUUCAUUUAAUAAAUCAAGUUUAGGCCGACGUUCAUCAUCCGGCAGCAAGUUCCGGUGGUGCUGGGUGCGGUACGCAAGUCCGAAUGCGGAAUUGGAGAAGAGCGGAGAAAGUCGGCCAGACAUCAGUUUGGGUGGGUUAAGGCGCGGUGUCCUGAAACAAUGAAAGAAGCAGGGAAUCGCCGGUGGCCACAUCUUCCUGGCGUGAACUUAAGGAACCUCGUUCCUUCCCGUGUAUGAGAGUGUCUGUUUGGGGGCAGCUUAGUCGUGGAUUUGAUUAGGUUUUUAUGUGACCAUGUCUGGUCUGCCGAGGUCUUGUAAAGUUUUAAAAAUGUUUUACAGUACCAAAAUUGGUUGAAGAAUCUGGUUGAGAAUUUGCUCCCUCUCGUCAUUACAAGUUGAUGCAAUCCAUGCUUAGGGGAUGUUAAUGCAAGCCCAAUGGCCUUGCUCAUGCAUGCCCUGGCAGUUGCAUAGGUUUACGGGACUGUGGCGGAAAAAGUUUCUCGGCACUAGCAAGUGAUCAUGCCGUGAAUAUGAUGUUAAACAUCACGUUCCCUUCAGACUAUUGCAACCUUACUGAACGCAGCCGAUCGACCGCACGUCCCAGCUGCUUGUACAGUACGAGGGCAAUUCCGGCGCAGCAUGCGUUGAGGGAGCUGUACUCGGUUAGAUGGAUGUGAAUACAUCAGAUAUUUUUCUGGUAUCUUUUCAAAUCAAUGCUCGAAUGAUACCAGCGUCCAAAGUUGAGGCACUUGCCGAUGCAUUGUGUUAUCUGGGAAACGGCUAAAGAUUGACAGAUUGUGUCGAGAGUUGUUUUCAUAGCAAGGGUAUUUUGCUUAGCUUUGCAGCAUGGACGGAGGGGGACCUGGGGGCAACGCGCCGUUGGAUUCAAUGGUCGAGGCGAAAGCAACCACAUGGAGAGAUUUGCCGGAUCAUCUGCUGGAGGUAUGUAAAGGCUGGUUUGCAUCAGCGAUAAUACAUGCAUAGAGGACCUUGAUGCGAUGCGCGCAAAGUGUGCUUCCCAUAAUGAUUUCCUUAGAGUUCUUCCAUCAAAUGCCUGCCUAUGGACACAUCAUAGCCUGAUAAGUGCAAAACCGUGUUCCUUGGUUGUCGCCUCUCAAUUGCAGCGACAAAGCAGCUCGGUCACUGCCCUUGCUUGUCAGGAGACGGCCUAAUACCCUAUUUGCAAUUUAUGCUUCUAUCCCUCUCGCUGCUGCUCGGUAUUGCAGACCAUUCUGAACCUUGGGCCGAUGGCUCCCUGCAACCCCCGUAUCCCUUGCCACACAACAACAGGCUAUCGGCUCGCAUGUUUAUGGUAUUGACUAUCUGACAGCGCGCCAUGUCUGCCAUGCCUGGCGUCGCGCACUGUCGCCGAUUACUCGGACAGUCAAGGUACGUGAGGUAGCUUGCGCGCGUGUGUUUAUAUUUGUGCUUGUGUACGCCACCAGGGGAAGAUAAUCACAGGAAAUGGUUCAGGAGCAUCAUCCAUCCUUCCAAACACCUACCGGUACUUCUAAACCCAGUUCGUCCUUAAGUCUGCUGAACCUUCCCCCCGGCCUCCCUUCCUCCCCCCCUCCUAGUUGGGUCAAAAGUCCAAGUUGGCUGUGUUUCCUUUUAUCCCCCUUCCACCCCGCUAACCCCCACCCCCGGUAGUCAGGUGCUUUUUAAUACGUCGUCGUCAGCUAAUCCCCUUCUAUUCUUUUGGCGCCACCACCACCAUUACCAUCAGCAGCAGGAGCAGCAUACCAACAUUACCAUCACCAUCAUCAUCACCACCACCACCACCACCAUCAUAAUCCUCAUUACCAGCGCCAUCAUCAUCACCACCACCAUCAUCGUUUCCAUCAUAUGACUUCCCCCCCAUCUCUCCCCCUCCUCCCCCCCCCCCACCCUGCCACAGAUGAAUCUCCACCACGCGGGACUGGAUCCAGCGGCCCGACUUGGGGCGAUGCAGCGAGCGUUCCCAAGGUGGGUUGGUGACAGGGUUGGGGUGGUGAGGGGGGGGUAUCUAAUCCGCCGCCUCCGCCUCCUGCUCCUGCUCCUGCUCCUCCUGCACCUGCUCUUCGUCCUCCUCCUCCCCUUCCUGCUCCUCCUCCUCUUCCUACUGCUCUCCGUAGGGUAGGGACGCCGGUAGGUGUUUUGCCAGUUAGGGCCCCGAAAGCGCGCAGACGGACAAGAUUUUUGCAUUACAUGACAAUAACCAUGAUGAUGAUGAUGAUGUGAUGAUGAUGAUGAUAACGCUGAUGAUGGUGUGAUAAUUCCUCCCCGCGAUGAUGCCGCCCUUCCUCACAAAUGAACGUCUGGUUGCAUUUCCACGGUCGCCAUCAUCAUGGGCGUCAUCAUCACCUCCGUGUCACCCUCGCCGUCGUGAUCGUUAUCAUGAUGCUCAGGGCCUGCCGCAUGGCCCUCUACGUGGAUGCGAACUCGGAGCGCGGCGAGGUCGACCUCGUCGUGAGUUACCUUUUCCCCAUUACCUCUCUUUCCUUGGUUGGCAGCAGCUUCACUCUUUCAUGGUCCGUCUUUUCCCCCUCCCCCCCGUGGUGGGGUGGGGGCUUGACACCUCACUUGACACCUGGCCUCUGGGCGGUGCGUCUAGUCGAUGUAGAGUAGGUCUGGCUGGCUGUUCGAUAUCAGUCAGACUUUCACUCGCAUGUGUACCGACAUACAUGCAUACAUACGGCGUUCUGGCCGGCCAUAGAAUCCCCCUCACCCUCCAUUGUGUUCCUUUAGGUACGGCUCCGUGUAGCCAUUUAGGAUUGAGCUUCUUGGCAUUUGGAAAUUUCAGCUUUUGCACAGCAGACUUUACAUAUAAAGCUUUUCCCUAAUGCCAAACACGUGGCCACAUGGGCCCCCCCCGACGUGCUUCCCGGCGGCCCCCCCCGGGACCCCGUUACCAUACACACACAUACUUACAUACAAACACACACAUGCACGGCCCCCAGGCGGCUUUGUGUGCCACCAUUCGCGCCAUGGCGGAUACUACCACGCCAUCCGUCGCGUCAUUGUCAUCAUCUCGGGCUCCGGAACCAAACCCACCCGCCUCUUCCACAACCACAACCACCACAACCGCCGCAACGGGAACUAGCGACCAGAACAAACGGCUGCAGCACCCGACGGGGGAAUCAGACCGGUGUCAACACCAGGAGGGGAGAGCAGUGCCAGGCGCGAACGUAUGCGCCGUGGGAAAUGGGGGUGAAGAAAGCAGCGCCUCCGCAGCGGCGGCCGCGGCGGAAGCGACGGGUACGACGGCUGCUGCUACGGCAGCGGCGGCGGCAGCAGCGACGGGUACGAUGGCUGCUGCUACGGUGGCGGCGGCGGCAGCAGCGGCGGCGGGUGAGCUCUGGGCAGCGGAAAACACCACUACUGCCCUUGGGAUUGUACCGUUUGGCGGCGGCGACGGCGGCGGAGGCGGUCCUGGUCCGCCGUCGUACAGCUCCAUGGCGCCGCCCCCUCCACCUCAGCCGGCGGAGGCGCCCGGGCCCUGCUGUGAGCACACGACUGGCAGUAGCGGCGGCGGUAGCAGUAGUGGCGGUAGGCUCAUGUGGCAGUUUAUGUCGAUUACGGUUGGAGCUUCGGUUUUACCGUUGAACCGAGAUCAGUUGGACCCAAUUACCCACCGACUGAUUACCAGCUGUCGGUGGGUUGGUCAGCAGGUACGGCAGCUACCGGGGGUUGGUGCCCAUGCUGGAGAUCGCAGUAACCCCAUCAUUUUCUAUUCUUACAUCAUCGGGCCGUGGUUUCUUUAAGAGGAAAAACAUUGAUGUAGGAAAUGAAUGAGCGUUUGAAUAAAUAGUGAGUUAAAUGAAUGCGUAUUAUGAGUACCCUCUGUUAUGGAGCUGUUUAGCAUCCUUGUCUUCAUCAGGAGUUAUUUUGGCGCAACGGCUCUUCAUCAGGUUCCAUCAUCAUGACUCCACAACGUCUUCGUUGCACCCACACCAUUUCACAGCAGGAAACUUUCCCUUUCGCGCUGUCCCUCCUAGAGCCCUUCCGCAGCCAAUUUGUUUUGCCUUCAUUUUCCACCUCCUCCUUUUUUUGCCUUCAUUUUCCACCUCCUCCUUUUUUUGCCUUCAUUUUCACGGAAGAUUGUACCCCCCCCCUUGUGAUCCCCCCCUGCAACCCUUUCCUCCCAUAUCAUCCCCAUCCAACCCAACCCACCCUCCUCCCUUCCCCAAAACGCAUCCCUUCCCUCACCCCUUACACACACGCAUACUAACCAUACGUACAUACGUACAUUCAAACAUACGUACACCUGCACCCACACACGCCGCAGCUAGCCGCAGCUCUGGCCGCCUCCCAGCCCGCCCUCUGCCGUCUCCGCCACCUGACCUCGCUGGAGCUCACAGCCGACACAGCCCUCUUCGCCGCCCUGGUGCCGCAGCUGGCGCGGCCCGGGGCCGCGCCCAGUCUUACAGAGCUUAGAUUUACUCGGGCGGAAGCUUCUAGAGGGUCGCUUGGGCGGUGGCUGGCGGCGGCGGCAGCGGCAGGAGGAGGAGCGGGAGGAGGGGGGACGGGGUUGGGUAUGGCGGCGGCGAUGGAGGCGCUAGGGAGUUUGACUGGACUGAAAUCCCUGUCAUUGAAUGCAGGUAUGUGGGGAGAAGGAUGGUGGGGGGGAGGUACCAGCACAAAGCUAGGAAAGCCGCCUGGCGACGUUUAUAGCGAGGAAUGGGGAGGAGGGGGGUUGAGAGGGGGGGUGAUUUGUGGGGGUGAUUUGUGGGGGAUUUGAGUGGUGAUUUGUGUAUUUCCUGUGUGUAGAGGGGAAAGUAUGAGUUAAAGGGGUUUCGCGAUUACUUUGGUUUCGUACGGCUGCCCGGUCCCCUUCAUUUCUCCGCGAAGCAUGUGCUUGUGUGUGUACACGUGGGCUCGUUGGGUUUUGAUUUUGGGCACAUGAUUCCAGUUCCACCUCCAAACCCCCGCCGCCGCUUCCUGAUGUUAAAAGCUUAACACACACAUAUCACACACGCACACAAACAUACAUACGCACAAACACACACAUGUGCAGGACUCCCCGGUUUGCCGUUAGCCGUGUCGCGUCUGUCCCACCUGGCGGCUCUGGAGCUGCAUCACAGCGGUCGGGGUGUGACGGUGGUGGAGGAUGUGGCGCCCCUGGAGGCGCUGACGGGCCUGAGCUGCCUCAAACUAAGGUGCGUGUGUAUGUAUGUGUGUGUGUGUUUGGAGGGGUGGAGAAAUGAAAAGGUUGGUAGAGGAAGCGGGGGUCGCGGGGGGGGAAAGAUUGUGUGAGAGGGGGUCCUUAAAGCUCUACUUUUUUUCGGGGGUUUGCUCACCCCCCCCCCGCCUCUCCACCCCCAACCCCUGCAUCCGCGCCGUCAUAUGGCUGCCUGCUGUUCCUGGGGCUGGUGCCGCUGGUACUUAGAAUGCGGUCGUUUGCGCCUUUUGCUUCAUCACGAUCAUCACCAUCAUCACCAUCAUCAUCACCAUCAUCACCAUCAUCACCAUCAUCACCAUCAUCACCAUCAUCACCAUCAUCAUCACCAUCAUCACCACCAUCAAUAUCAUCAUCAGUAGCAGCUCCCCCCUUUCCCCUUCAGCCCUUCCCCUCCCACAACCAUUACAACCACCACAACCAAUUUAUCUCGGGUGCACAAAACCUUUUGCGUAACCCCUCUUGCGUAAACCCCAAACACCAUCAGGUACAUGGCUCUUCGCGACAUCUGGCAGCUGACUCGCCUGACCUCCCUGACCUCCCUGGACCUCACCGUGCGCGGCUUCUUCGCUUCCGAGGGCUUCGCUGACGGCGAGGACGAGCUGGACGAGCUGGAUAACCUAGAUGCGGCUAUGUUGGAGGGGGGGGGAGGAGGGGGGGAUUGGUUUGGGGGACUGCCGCCGCCGGUGGUGCCGCCGCCGCCUCCGGCGGCGGCGGCGCUGAUCUUUCCUGUCGGCGGCUUAGGCCUUCAUCAUGCCAUUGCAGCUGCCGCCGCAGCGGCGGCGGCAGGGCCUGGAGGAGGACAGCAGCAGCAGCAACAGCCGUUGCAAUUUGGUUUUGCAAUGCCGCCGCUGCAGCAACAGCAGCAACAGCCGCCGCCGCCGCCCCCAGCAGCAGCAGCAGCGGCAGCGCUGCAGGGCCAACCGCUUGCUCUGUCACUCACGCCGCCACCCCAGUCCGCGCCCGCGGAUUUUCCUUUGGCCUAUCGGUUGAAUCAUCCCGGUGUCGCGUCUGUGUGGCAUGCUCACAACCCUCCCCUCCCAAACCCACAUGACCUGUUCAACCCCAACGCAACUCAUUAUAAUCAUCAGCACCAACCCCACCCUGCUGCCUGGGCCGCGCUGGGACAACUACCCCCACUGCAGCACCAGCCGCACCUGCAUCACCACCAUUUCCGUCAAGAACACCAAGUACAACAGCAACAACACCAAGUACAACAGCAACAGCCUCAAUCGCCUCCGCUAUUCCACCAUACGACCACGACCCGGCAGGACCAGAACUUGCAUGCACAGCAAGAAGGACUGGCGGCGGCGGCGCCGCUUCCGCCGCCAGGGCUGGCAGGUUCUGGUGGUCCAGUUCUGGCACUGGGCUGCGGCGGCGGCGACGGCGACGGCGGCGGUGGAAACGUGUGGCGUCCACUCCUUUGUCCGUUUCCUGGAGGGCUCAGGGAAGGAGGUGUUGGCGGGGAAAGAGGACCGGCCUCUGCAGCGCUAUCGGCAGCUGCUGAUGAUGCGGCGGCGGUGGCCGCUACAGGAGCCGGAUGUUCUUCAAGUUUUGGUGGCGGCGGCGGCGACGCUACAGCUUCGUCUGCGGGUGCUGGCGGCAGCGGCGGUGCCGGCCCCGCCGUCGAUGCAGCGGGCGCUGCCGCUGGCGGAAUGAAUGCUGUUGCGGCGGCCGGUGCUACGGAGGAUGUGUACGACCGACGGCCGGGCUGCAGUGAUGGCGGCGGAGGCGGAAGGGAGGAGCCCAUGGCAGGUAGCUCCGGCGGCGGCAGCGGCGAUGGUGGCGCCGGCGGGAGUCUUGUGGGAUUUGGGUCUUGGAUGUUCGGAGAUGGCGGUUACGAGAGUGACUCCGAUGGCGCUGUUACGUUCAGCUUAACAUCAUCCGCCGCCGGCAGCGAUUAUAUCGCCGAGGACGACGGCGGCGGCGGCGGCGGCAGCGGCAGCGGCAUUCCAGGUGUCUUAGGGGACCGCCUGGCAAGGCGCGGCGGAGGCGAUGACGUUGCAGGUGCGGCGGCGGCAGGGCGCGGCGGCGGCACCUCUGUCCUUCCAUCUUGUAGCGGCUGCGUUGGGGUCAGCGGAGGCAGCUGGUGGUCUCUAAGGGAACCUCCGGAGGCGUCUCAGGGUGCUCAGCGGCAGGCGGCGGCUGUGUACGGCGCGACCUUCAACAGCGGCGGCGGCGCCGCCGCCGGAGGUGUUCACCUCCGCUUUGACGAAAGCCCGGCAACUGCUGGCGUGAAGCUUUUAUCGGCGUCACAACAACAGUUGUUGGGUGAACCAGAGGCGAUGGCAGCGUUGGCGGCGGCGGGGCCGCCGUACGGCAGCAACCUUUUGCCUGGUGCCGCUUCGGCGGAGGCGGCGUUGCCGGACCACAACCUAUCAGACGCCUCGGGCCCCUUGCUGAAUGGAGUGGCGGCGGCCGCAACGACGGAGGCGGCGCCCGCGACGGCUGGCUCCCUUUUGCCGCCGCUAGCCUCCCCGCCACAGGUACGGCGUGCUGGCGGCGGCGCUGGCGGCAGCGGCUCCGCUGGCGGUGACGGAAGAGGAAGAGGAGGAGGAGCGGAUGCAGGGACUACACAAGAACUGUCGGCUGCUGCUGCUCCGAUUGCUGACGCUGACAUGGCGACGGCGACGGCGGUAUCGUCACCGCCGCCGCCGCCGCAGGCUGGCGGCGGUAGUGAGGGGCACCAGGCUGCUCCUGGCGGCGUGGCGGAGGCGGGGGUCGACGCAGGUCCUGCCGCUGCCGCUGCAGCUGCUAUUGUUGAAGAAGGACAGGACCUCCUAGAGGCGGAUGAUGAUGAUGAUGACGACGAAGAUGAUGAAGAUGAUGACGCGGAGGCUGACGAGGCAGCGGCGGAGCUGGAGGCGGCGGAGGUGGCCGAGGCCAUCGCGCACGAGGGCAGCCUCAGCCGGCAGUUGUGGCAGGUGGUCGCUGCGCUACCCGGCCUCCGGUCGCUCAACGUCAAUGCCUGGCACGAGGUAAGGAGGCAGCUGCUACUGCUGCUGCUGUCGUUGUUGUUGCUGCUGCUGCUGCUGUCGUUGUUGUUGCUAUUGCUAUUGCGGUUGCGACUGAUGUUGUUGCUACUGGACCAGGCCCAUGUGGAUGGUGGUUGUUGGUAGGAGAUGUGUUGCUGUCUACUUUGCUGCGAGUGACCAUCGAUCUGUUUGUGCCCUUUGCUUGCUGUACGAUUACCAGUACGAAGAGAUUUGUCAGAGCAGCCGUCAAGGUAAAUAUGUGACUUUUUCCUCCGUUACCCUCCCUUACUCUCCCUCUAUUUGCUUGUUGCCUGUUCUGGACAUGGUAAAUAUUCGCCCACAUUUAUCGUCCUCAGUAUUUUCUCCUACAGUACAAACAUAUGCACGUGGUGCCGUACAGUGCCUGUAGUAUUGGCGUUGAUAGUGAGGGUGAACCAGGAAAAAGAUCUUUUAUAAGGCCCACCUCUACACCUCCUCACACCAGUAAUUAGUUCAAGGAUUAUGUGUUUCCAGGUGCCCUCACUCCUUCCCCCCGCGUAGCUCCGUACAAUUGGCUGUACCCGUACGGAACCCGUGCAGUCGGCUGUACCCGUACGGAACCCGUACAGUCGGCUGUACCCGUACGGAACCCGUGCAAUCGGCUGUACCCGUACGGAACCCGUACAACAAGUCACGCGACACCCCUUCGCCCUCGUUUAGAUCCAUUGCUUCCCCCCCUAUCCGUUGCUUUCCCCCCCCCCCUCACCUUCGUAAGGCCCCUCUGGAUGACGAGCGGCUGGGUGAGCUGGCUAAGCUGAGCCUGCCGUGGGGAGGUCAACUGCCCGUACCUAGCGGACUGACCUCCCUAGGGUUACUGCUGCAGGUGGGACGUGUGUGUAUGUGUAUAGGUAUAUGUGUGUGCAUGUAUGUCUGUCUCACCCUUUUUUACAAUACAUACAUACAUACACACAUACAUACAUACAUACACGCAGGCCUCCAGCGCCUCCGCCCGCCUCUCCUCUCUAUCUGAUCUGCGGGAGCUCAAGGACCUCACACUGGUGGUGGCGCCGCCCAAGGUGGGUGGUGGUGGUGGUGGUGGUGGUGAGGUGCCUGAGAGAGUUUGGGGGGGGAAGGGAAGAGACGUGAGCGGCAGUAUUAUUAUUAUUACUAGUAGUAGUAGUAGUGGCAGUAUUAGUAGUGGCAGUACUAGUAGUAGUAGUGGCAGUACUACUAGCGGUUGUUUUUGUUGCAUUGCCGCUACCACACUACACAUGCUCACAGCGCCACUGCAGACGACGUACGACAUGCAGUGCAAAACUGCCGAAUAUCGUACGAUGGUCGUUGCGCGUGUGAUGUAGUUAUUGUACGGGCAACUCCGUGGGGAGCUGUGUACUGCAUCUCCUCGAUGGCACUGGGCAACGUGGCCUAUCUCCCGUACGUAUGGUUGGGACAAUGCCGUACGUAGGGCUCCGGUGGUCGCCUGCCUCCCCCCGCCGCCGCUGCCGUACAACUAAGUGUCCUGGAUAUCGAGUACGACAGUGAGGACGAGAUGGACGACAAACCCGACGGUGCGGGGCCGUCGGCCGCACAUCCUGGCGUGGAAGUAGUGGCUACUGGCGGCAGGGCCAGCGGCCGUACUGCAAACGUCGGAGAGCAGCAGGAGCUGCCGCCCCCGCCGCCGCCGCCGCCGCAGCAGCAGCAGCAGCAGCAACAGGAGCAAGAAGACGCCACGAUGGGGGAUCUAUGGGAUAACGGCGGCGAAGAGGCCGCCGUGGAAGUCGAUGAUGACGUGGAGAUGGCGCCGGCGCCGGCGCAUUCGCAGGCGUAUCCGGCAGCGGCGGCGGCGCCAGUGACGGCAGCCAUGGACACCAGCUCCGUCGACGGCGACGGCCCUGGUGCUGCCGCCGGUAUCGGCGCCGCCGCCGCCGGCAGCAGCCCUGUAUACCACCUGGCGGCUCUUACCGCACUGGAACGGCUUCGGUUGUACGACGACCCUGGAGCACUGCCUGUGGAUCAGGAGGCCGCCAAGGUGUGCAUGUAUGUAUGUAUGCAUGCAUGUAUGUAUGUAUGUACAUUUGUGGGUUUCCGUAUCGCCCCUCUUUCUAAGGGGGCCCGGCUAUGGUGGUGAUGGUGAUGCAUAUUCGGGACGUGGGUGGGUGGCUCAAACAGUGUUGAUACGAGGACACUUUUACCCCUGAUGAUCUUUCCCUCUCAAGCCCCUUCCUGCCCUGCAAACGAAGGUCGUCCGUUAAGCUAACGGAGCAUAACAACCCCCCCAAACCCCUCGGUUCGAUCCCGUCUCUCUACAAUGACAGUUUUUAUCCGUUGCUUGGUCCAAAUUGAACGACAUUUACAUUUUGGGGUCCAUAACGCUCCAGCGUUCCGCGGGCCUUAUGUUCAGUCGCCUCGCACAUCUGGAUCUUUUCAAUCAGGUGGGAAAUUACGUUGUACGAAUGCUCUGGAAAAACAAUACUGAUAAUUACGUUGGUAACAUUUCCGUGUUGCUUGUUUGUGUUGUUGGUUAGGAGUAGAACGGUUGGUAGCUGGGGGUUGCGAGGAAAAUUGAGAAUGUGGUAGCAGUGUGUACGACCACCGCGGGGUGUUGGAAGAGGGAUCGGUUGGGUUGGGGGGAGGGGGAGGAGGGGGAUAGGUGGGGGUUUGGAGGGAAGAAAAGAGAGUUGUGUGUGUGUGUAUUGUCGGCAUGUUUUCCUCCCCUAACCCCCUCCUCCCCUAACCCCUGCGGCUUCGGUCUGCAUGUAUGUAUGUCUGUGUGGCUAUCUAUCCUGGCCAUCCCUGCCCAUCCUUCUACGUGUCCUUUCCCUAGCUUUUUUCUUGUCUAUUUUUCUCUUCUUUGUAUCACUUUUUUGUUUCCUUUAUUUCUUUUUCUCUGUAACACUGUAACACUGCACCAAUGCACCAGUCAGUCGUACAUUCACGUACCCCUGCGACAUCAAGAGGUUUUUUUUCCUAACAUGAUUGACUUGUCCUCUUCCCGACUUCCCGUGACCUUUGCCUUCCCUGGUGUAGACGUCAACGGUGCCGUACAGAGUACAACUGCAUCACCUGCCCCCAUCUCUACGCGCGUUAGGCGUGCAGAAUGCCGUACUGGAAGGAGCUAACCGUGCCGGACAAUUGCAAGUUAGUUGGGAGUUGGGAGUUUAGGGUUGGGAUCGGUUGCUUUCAUGGAAAGUUACCGGUGGUUUAUUGAAUGAUUGGCUCUCUCUGUUUGUCUGUCUAUCUGUAUGUCUGUAUUUUAUUAGUCUAUGUUUGUCCGGCCUUUUGCGGCGGCCCAUGUGGACCGUCGUACAACGACCCAACCACUUCCCCACCCCCUGCGUCGCUCCUGCAGUCAGUACUUGAAGGCCUGUCGCUGUAUGCUACCGUACACUGGCCUUUACGUGCAAACGGCGGUACGGAUAUGUACGACUGGAUUGCAGGAUGUGACAAGCUGGCGAGGUGUGUUUUUGCUGCACGGGGAGCAAAUGGGCUGUCGUUGGAAUUGGUUACGGGGUGGUUAGGGGUUGGGGCGGGGGUGGUUAGGGGGUGGGGCGGGUGUNNNNNNNNNNNNNNNNNNNNNNNNNNNNNNNNNNNNNNNNNNNNNNNNNNNNNNNNNNNNNNNNNNNNNNNNNNNNNNNNNNNNNNNNNNNNNNNNNNNNNNNNNNNNNNNNNNNNNNNNNNNNNNNNNNNNNNNNNNNNNNNNNNNNNNNNNNNNNNNNNNNNNNNNNNNNNNNNNNNNNNNNNNNNNNNNNNNNNNNNNNNNNNNNNNNNNNNNNNNNNNNNNNNNNNNNNNAGGGAGGGGGGAGGGGGACGGGGAAGGGGAGGGAGGGGAAGGGGAGGAGCAGGAGGGGGUGGAGGGGGAGGGAGGGGAAGGGGAGGAGCAGGAGGGGGUGGAGGUGGAGGUGGAGGGGGAGAGGAGAGAGAGAAGGGAUGGGGAAGGGGAGGGAGGGGGAGGGGGAAGGGAUGGGGAAGGGGGGGGGGAGGGGCAGGGGGUGGAGGUAGAGGGGGAGGAGCAGGAGGGGGAGAGGGAAGGAGCAGGAGGGGGAGGGGGUAUUUACUAGAACCUUCUAAACCCCGCCGCUAAAACCAUUCACCUCAGGAGCACCUGGCGGGUGUUCUGGAUCAACGGCUCGUGGAUGACGUGGCAGGUGAGGAGGAUAUGAUGAUGUGGGAACGAGAAGGGAGGGGGGAGGGCGGAGGGAGGGGAGGGGGGUGAGAGAUUUCCAAAAAGGGAGACGAGAGAGGAGAGGGGAGGAAGGGAUUGGGGGGGAUUCGCAAGAUGGUUAGCUCGGGGGUUCACUCGUCGGGGGCCACAGUCAGCGCUCUGAAUGCCGCUGCUGCGCCGCAUUUCUAUGAAGGCCUGAAGGGGGCCGAGUGGUGGUUUUUUUGCCAUCUAGGGGCGGCAGGCGUUUGUGGCGGAGUCGCAGCUCUGUGGGGCCGGGCGGGGCUCUGUCCUUUCUGGGGUUUACAACCGGGGGGGGGAGGGGAGGAGGGGGGAUUUGAGCCGUCGCAAACCGUGGUGUGGGUGUGUGUGGCAGUUGUACUUUUGUAGUUUGUUGUUGAUUUUUCCAUUCCCACCGCCGCCCGCCUCAAUGUCAUGUAUGAUGCCCCCCGUGGUCUUAUGGGCCCGCAAUGCUAAAUAGGGGUUGUAGCAGGGGUUGUAGCACAUGAGGGUGUGUGCCGUACACGUACGGUUGUGCCUCCGGCCUACGACUCUCUCCUUGCUGUCUCAACCCCCUCGUUUUACUGGAGCUCCUCCCGCCGCCCAAAAAUUAUGUAUGUAUGUACGUAUGUACGUACGUAUGUAUGUAUGUACGUACAUACAAAACUCGGACUCAAGCGAUAUCAUCUCUGGAGGAGCUGGAGAUCUGGAACGUGUACGGCACUGACUGGAACUUGCAACACACCGACUUUACACCCCUGGCUCGGUUGACUCGGUUGAGGUGAGAGGGUGGCGUGUGUGUAUGAUGUGUGGGACAGGGGGCUCAUAUCUUCACCCUGCGGCCGCUACCCGGCAGACCCUCUGCCUUCCCCGCGGGUAUUUCGGGGCACCCUCAUCCAGUCACCCUAGUCAACUUUUCAGUGGAUCGCUCAGGUUCCGCACCCACCACCAGCAUCCAACGGAAUCUGCCGGGUCGACAGCGGCCCAACUCCAUUCCUGGUCAGCUCGCAGGUCAACUUUAUACCAGGUCACCACCGUCCAUCGACUAGGGGCACUAUUACCUUCAAUCAUUGGAAGGAUUUCCGACCCUGACAGGUCUCGAUCCCGGGAUCUCCCGGGGGCAUUAGUAUGUGCCUUAUCAGUAGUGCCUGACCUAGGUAUAGUGUGCUGUAUGCAUUGAGGGAUGGGGGGGUGGACUUAUGGAUUUAUGGACAUGAACUAUGGACGUGUACUAAGGUGUAUUUCUGUACACAACAGAUUGAAUGACGUUUCCCCCCACCACUGCCGUACUGCCGUACAGGUCCCUGAAGAUGGAGGCGUUGCCGCCUUUCAUGGCCUUCCGCAUCCGCCGCAUCAUGCGGGAGGGUGUGCCGUACUGCAAGGUGUGUUUUGUGUGGCCCGUUGUCCCCUCCUGCAUGCUCCCUAUACCGCCUGCCUCGUUCCCCACACCCGCACCUCUCCAAAGCCCCUUUAGUCAUCAGUGUACGGCAUUCACGUAGCCGAUUCCCCCCCACCUCUGAUGAUCUCAAUCAUCAUUAUCAUCAUCGUCGUCAUCAUCACCAUCAUCAUACAUCAUCAUCAUCAUCAUCAUAUUUAUAUUAUUAUCACCAUCAUCAGCAUCGUCAUCAUUACCAUCAUUAACAUUAUCACCAUCAUUAUCGUCAUCGUCAUCAUCAUUGUUCAAUCCCUCCCCUCCCCCGCAUUUCCCCCCCCCCCCCCCGUCACAUACAUCCGGAAUGUGUCAUCAGGUACGUCUGGUGGCGGACAACGAGAUGCCCCCGGAGGCACUGAUGCCCCUCCCGGCGCUGGUGGCAGCUGCAAAUGCAGGUAUGGCUGCGGCUGUAGCGGCUUUGCAGCAACAGCAACAACAGCAACAACAUUAAAUCCAACAACAACAAGAACACCAUCAUCAAGAACAACAACCCUAGCAGCAGCAGCAACAGGGGCUGCUGGGGGGCCCGGCGGUGGGUAGUGGGGGGGGGAGGGGGAGGAGGAAAUGGUGGUGAUGGUUAACCAAAGUGACGAUGGUGAAGUGGUGAAGAAGGUUGCGAUGGUAUGUACACAUAGUAUAGAAGGGAAGUCCCCCUCCCCCUAACCCCCCCAAACCUCCCACCUAAACUUUGAGUGGCCGGGCUCCGAUACUUCAACAUGUCGCAGCGUCGUACAGCUGCAACGAUAUGUAGUACAGCUGGCAGGGUAGGGCAGGAGGCCGCCAAGGGUUGGCGUACCCGGGCCUUUUGGCCAUUGUACUGAUUCGUACACAUUCGUACACAUUCAUGCAUAUAUUUCAGGUUGUAAAUGUGGGUGUACGUAUGCAUGUAUGUGGGUUGGGAGCGACAUGAAUGUCACCACCACGUACGGCGGUACAACUCGGAUGCUCCUUAUCGGGGGCUGGUGGGCCGCGGGUGGGGAGUGGGGGGUGCCGUGGUGGUGUGUGGUGUGUGCUGAACGGUGUGAAGCAUAGCGAAGGUGCGGAUGGCUUUGGAGCAAUGUUUGUUGUACGAUGUGUACGAUUGAGUAUUGGCAGGUACGGGCGCAGACAGACAGAUAGAUAGAGCGAGCGAGAGGGUCAGAUGGAGGGAGAGACAGGGGGGGAGAGAGAGAGAGAGACGCGCAGGCUGGCGGCGAUAGUGGGCAGAGAGGGGGAUGCAGAGCGGCACCUGCGCAAUUGGUUUCUUGGACGGUUUUCUCCUUUUUUUGGUUCACAUACAGAGUAUAGACAUCCGCAGUUGCAGCCGUACCAGUAGCAGCAAUGGCAGUAGGAGCGGGGCGGUGAAUCGCCAUUGCGCAGUUGUUUUUCAGUCCGCUUCAUUACAAUCACGAUUGAUUAGUCUGCCAUGAAGUAUUGGGUCUAUCUCUAUGUGUGUAUAUGUCUGUGUGUGCAUGUCUGUGUGUGUACGUCUGUGUGUGUGUUUUAAUGAUCUUCGGAGCCGCGACGAGGGAUAUUAUGCCGAAUAUGGUGGGGUGGCGCUGUGAGGUAGUGGAGGGGGGUGGCAGCGGGGACGGCCCAUAACGGGAAGGGCCGCGGGUAUGUGGCCCUAUGACAGGCACGUCCGGGGGGCAGGGCGGGGGGAGGGGGGGAAACCCCUCGUGGGAACUCCCCCCACAGCGUCCUGCUGGGGCCCAAGUGUGUAUUGGCACGAUUCUCAUGAUUCGCACACCGGGGUGCCGUAUUAUGUGUGUGUGGAUGUUACAGUGGGCUCCAGAUUACGUGCAGUGUGCUUGGAGCGUUUGAGCGCAACACCGUACUGUUACUACAUUCUCGUGUAGUUGAGUAGAAAGCUAGUGUGCAUGGCUCCUGUAGUUGUUGGUUGGUUGUUUCCGUACACACAUGUUUCUAAGGAUUGUCGUUUGACGUUGUGCAUGUCGUACAUAGUCGCCAGAGAAGUUAAAAGUUCGAGAUAGACGAGGGUCUUAGCAUCAUAAGACGGAAGAGGGGGAAAGGAUUCGUGGGGGGAGGGGAAGAUUUAUUGUUCGCUGGUGAAUGCUUUGUUUGUUUGUAUGUAUGUAUGUCGGCGAGAUAGAGCAGAGAACGGACGUGGUGACAGACAUAUUCCGAUAUGUAAAUCACGUGGCAGAUUCACGAGUUCGGACCUGAUUAGACAGCCUGGAGAAAUUGAUAUUGAAAACCAAACAAAUAUUACAAUUCUGCCGGUUCGGGGUCUACGUAUCGACUUAUUGGUGCGCGAGCUGCCGACUUGCGGCCGAGGAUACUCCCCUUGCAGAGCCUUACAGCCCCCUACCCUAGGCCAACUUUUACGGCUGUUUGUCAGCGGAUCACGCUGCUGAAUGCAAACCGAUGGUCCCAGCCCGCGCCCUAUUCCUCAAUAGCUAGCGUGCCCAUCAUCCAGUCAGUUACAUGUCGUUCCUCCUAUUUCGUUGCAAGGCAGCUUUCUCCUUUAUCUAGCAAACAACAUCAACAUAACCCAUCUUGUCAAAUCCGUAUCAUCAAACAACUUUAUUUUCCUCAUCCGGAAAAUUAACCUUAUUCACACAGGUAUACUAUAUGUUUUAAAUUCUCGUCCACCGACCAGCCGUGCAUCCACAGGGUUGCUGCGUGCAGAUCGAUGCAGAUGGUGUAUGUGGCUGCCUCACCGCUCGCGGUGAAUGCCCGUGCCACCGCCUACUCACCACCUGCCGCAGCCACCACCACCUGGUCACUGUACCAGCUACGCAUCAUACGCACACACAUACAUACUUACAUACAUAUAUUGAGGAAAACCCCUAUCCAAGGAGUCCACGAUUCAGAACAACUGCCUCCUGCUGCAAUCCGAGAACCAGGUUCACCACUCGAGCUCGAUGACUCGAUAACAAUCCAAUCGCCACACUGCUCGCCGCUGCAUCGAUCGCAUUAUCGUCCACGGCCACGUGGUCGCAAUCAGAGCUAGCUAUACCUAAUUCUCGAUAUAAAGAUCUAAUUCACGUAUAGCAAGCAAGAGGUAUAUAGCUCUACUAGUGACCAUCAGCGCCCCAAGUUUCCCAAUCGGCCAAUGGGAAGAAGAGGGGUGGUAUCCACGGGAUGUGUUCAGCAAGCAGUACAUGAAUAUACUGGUAUACUACCCCCCAUUCGACAACCCCACGCACCCACAGUGUGAUGAGGCGCGGCCGUGAUGAUGACGCCGUGUACUACUGCUACGUAAAAUACGGCGUAUUUGGAUGGGUGCAAAGUUGCCUCCCAAGUUGCCGGGGGCCACGGAGGCUAAGCUGGUCUUUAAACGCGUGUGCACGCACAACUAAUAAUACAUAAAACCAUACGUGGCCAAACAAAUGGGUACCAGUGCGAGUCAUGAUGAUUUGUUACGCAUCAUCAGCCGCUGGAAAGUUCGGCCAACGUCAUCCUUUUGCUGAUGGUUGGUUGGUUCGUUACCACGUGCUAUUAGUACUGCACAAUCACAUGUACGAAACGGAGGCAAAUUCAGACCUAGCUUCCCUCGUACAAUAUUCAGCAGUUCGGGCCCGCUACUGCAGCGCAUACAUACUUUUAGGUUUUCACCAUGAACGACUACUGGCUGGCGGGGGGAGGGGGUACGCGUCGUAUACAAUGAAACCAUGGUUUGUAAGAGGAAUGAAGCCCGCGGCCAGCAAGCUUGUGUCGCUCGAUGGAAUGCAAGAAGCUUGGGAACAGGUCGCGACGCAGCGUUUACGGCGCUGCGUAUACAUGUUGACCUAGCUAUAUAUGUUGGCUGCGUCUCGCGAAUUGUAUCCACAUCUGCACGUGUAAAUUCGCGCAUGUAUGUCCACCGAAAGAAGACACGUAUUCAUUCCCUGUACGACAUAGCAUAUUGAACAGCAGGACAGGGGAAUGAGGGAGAGCGAGAGGAAAUUAUAAAACCAAGUACCAAUGGCCCCAAGGGCAUAUGGUUAGGAAUGAAUCAUCGCUAGUAGCUUUUUGCACGAGCCGCCGCACACACACACAGACACACAGACACACGCACACGCACACGCACACGCACACGCACACGCACACGCACACGCACACGCACACACACACACGCACACACACACACACACACGCACACACACACACAGACACACACAGACACACACACGCGCACACACACACAGACACACACACGCACACACACACACACGCACACACACACACACGCACACACACACAGACACACACACACACACGCACACACACACACACAUACGCACACACACACACACGCACGCGCGCACGCGCGCACGCACACACACACACGCACACGCACACACGCAUCACGAUCUAUCUGCGGUCCCUACAUACCUAAUAAUAGUAUUAUACCACCUACCAGGGCGGCUGGACGAUCUAUUACGCAAUUCUAUUAUAACACUACUAUAACACUAUUAUAACACUAUUAUAACACUAUUAUUAUACAAUACUAUUAUCGGACGAUAGAUGGUCAUCAAACAUAAUAUACACCCAUGCCAGCCACAUCGUAUCCACAAUAUGACCUACCUGCUGGUUAGCAUCAUUAUAUGCUGCAAUAGCUAUUUUGGAUCAAUUAUAUCCUUGUUCAUUGAAGGGGUUGCUCGUCCAAGUUGGCAGAGAGGCCACAGCAUUGAUGGUGUCCUGGGUCACAGUGAAAUUCCACUUCUGAUAGAACGGGACUAGAUUGACACCUGCAGCAGCCGCAGCAGCCGCAGCAGCCGGGGGGAGGGAGGGGGGGAGGGAGGGGGGGAGGGAGGGGGGGAGGGAGGGGGGGAGGGAGAUAGAUAAGCAGCUCACAGGAUUAGUGAUGGGGGGGCAAGUGGGCGAGUGAGCGAGGUGUGGCGCAUUCAUCAGGCUGCUGCUGCGUGGCGCGCUUGUGGCAGGGCGUGAUGAACAUAAACAAAUUUGUUUAUAUUCAUUUAAAGGAGAAGUAACAAUGAUAUAUAGUGAACGCGGCCUUCUGAUGUAUGUCCUACGCAUGUAUGUCUGCAUGUAUGUCAUCGUUGUAUGCCGUACUAGCCCACAGCCUCCUGUUGUAUGGGUCAGCGGCUAGGGCACCAGCUGGCUACACGCGAGGGAAACAUCGACACGUCAGCCUAGAUCUUUGUGUAGUACGGUAGCUGCCGUAUAGUACGGCACACAAAACGUCGACGAACAUGCGCAAAGUCGCUCUGCCGGCAUCUCCAGAGGCCUUUUGAGCCACCAGCUUCUACAUCUACAUGCAGCAGCAGCCGCAGCAGCAGCCGCAGCAGCAGCCGCAGCAGCAGCCGCAGCAGCAGCCGCAGCAGCAGCCGCAGCAGCCGCAAUGGACCUGCAGCCCUCUGAGAGACCCAACCCUGCUUCCUUCUGAAGCCUCCGUACGACGCCGAUCGAAACACCCACCAGCCAAUUUGCUGCUCGUCUGUAUCCAGGUCUGCACGUUAUCGGCCUACAACAAGCAAAAGGCGUCAUCACACACGUGGCUUAUUCAGGUUUAUAGAUAGGAAGAUGAGUAUGCAUGUAUGUAUGUGUACACCCUAAACGUACCGAUCAUGUUGUGCACCCACGUCUACAGAUACUCUACACAUUUAGCUACCCCUAUAUGUGCAGCAGCUGCUGGCCGCCGAUGAUAAGGCCUCUCAACAAGAUGCUGCUAGCGGAGCGCCUUUGCGCGUAUUUGUAGACGUCAUGUGUGCCGUACUUUGUACGACCUACUACGAUAUGUCAUGUUAGGCGGGUAACGUGCGUACGAAAUGUGCGAAAAUAGUAAGCAGCAGCUUGCCAUGCACCGCCAUACACCGACCGGAAGCGGUAGGGGCAUCUGUUGGUAGGCAAUGUACAGCCUGCGGUAGAAGAUCCAGCCAAAUUCCUCCUUCAGCUGCGUCGUUCGUACACGCCGUACCGUAGCGCCGUACCAUACCGCCGUACCGUAGCGCCGUCGACAAGGGCACGCGGCAAUGCGUCAGGGGGACCUCAGUGUUAACCGGGUUGCACUUGGUUGCAGCGGGCGGAGCGGCUGCCUUGGUACACCGGAUACACACAGCGACAGGUUUAUAUAAAGCGAUGAAUAACGGCGCAGGCAAUGCAUUUGGCCGAGACAUUCAGCAAAGACAUACAAGGCAACUAAUAUUAACAAUAUUAACAGCACACAUACACACACAUACACACACAUACACACACAUACACACACAUACACACACAUACACACAUACACGCACAUACAUACAUACAUACAUACAUACACCUCCUGGUGUACGCUGCAUCAUGCUCUGGAGUCCGCAAUAAUAAUAUUUUUUGUGAUAAGCGCGGUAGCUGGCCGCUGAAAAGGCCUCCCAAGAUAUGCU